rnacentral:lncRNA from 1 species
CGCAGAAGCUUCCCUUUAAGGUGACCUUCAGGUCGCUUCACAAGGUGCAAGGUGGCUUCACUUUCGGAAGCUUGACUUGGGUGGAUGAUGGUGGGAAGCAUACCGUCAGGAUUCCGAUCGCGGUUCGGGUGAUCAUCGUAGAUUCCUUUUCUGACACCUCCUAGAGUCCAAGUUAUAAGCUCUGGCCUGAGCAUUCGAGACAUGAAGUAAUAAUGGAGCCGAGUUAUAUGUUGCUGUAGCAGUAAGUUCAGUGUUAAGAUGUCUCGAGGAAUAAAAGGAUAUCUGUUUCGUUGCUCGUGCGUAUGAUGAUGAGUAUAAAUCAUCAUAAAUUUAUCAUUAAGUUCAGUGUUAAUCAAAAUUUAUCAUAAAUAAAUAUUUUAUUAAAAUAAAUAUUUUUUUAUUCAUUUAAUAUAUACUUUUCAUGUAUUUCAAUUCAUAACGGAGCUAACAAUAUUUUUAAAAUAGAAAAUAUAAUUAAAUAUAUUUCAUAAUAAAAAUAUAAAUAUAGCUAAUGAGCAUAAAUCAUUGUAGUACUAUCAUUAACUUUUCAUAAAUGAGCAUAAAUAUAACUAAGGGUUUGUAAAUGUAAAUAUUGUAUAAUUAUAUAUGUUUGAACAUAAUUCGUGGUAGUAUGAAUAGCAUAUUAUUUAAUUAUCUAAAAAAGUCAUGAUUCAUCCAUCUAUAAUUCAUAACACAAAUCUAAUUAAUGAGAUUACAAGAGAAUUUAAAAUCAUACCUAAUAUAGUUUUGUUAGACUUAUCGAAUCCAUUUGGUAUCAAAACAGAAACUCGAUAAUUCCUCUUAUUUUUCUUCUUUUUUGUUUUCUCCUUUCUUUCAAUUCUCUCACUGUUCUUUCUCUCCUGCUUGCACGAAUCCCUUUCUUUUUUUUUAUUUCCCUUCUCAUCCUCUGUUUCUUCUAUCUCACACCCCAUCCUGGAUUGCUUUUUUUUCUCUCAUCUUCCUCUCCUUCUAUUCUUCUUCUUCUCCCCUUUUCUAUUUCUUCUCCCCUUUUUUUUCUUCUUCUUUCUUCCCCGACUCUGUUCUCACCGAUGCCUCCCUGUCUUCUCUCUUUCUCUUCCUCUUCUCUCUCUCCUUUCUCCCUUUCUCUUUCUAUUCCUUCCAUCCUCCCUUUCACUCUUCUCCGAUCCCUUCUCUGUUUCUCUCUCUCUCUCUCUGUCCCACACGCUCCCAUGCCACCGCAGCCUCUGUUUUACCCCAUCGAGAGAGAGAGAGAGAGAGAGACCGAGAGGCGGUGGGAAGCUAUGGGGUGUUUAACCAACUAAUCAACCAACGCCGCCGUUGCCGUGUUUUGCAAUUUAAGGUCCUCAGAAAAAAUAAGGGAUUUACAAAAAGACUAUCCAAGGAUGUGCUUAUGCCGACAUAAUUGUGCAUGCUUGCAAUAGCACUUCCAUAAAAUGCUUUAUGGAGGAUUCAGACAAAUGUUUUAAUGUAGCAUAGCAAAUCUCCAACUAGAUGUGUUCUAUUAUAUCUUGAUAAAGGACCUUACGGGUCUGGAAACUUAGCAUAGCAAAAUCCCAGACUAGACAUUCUAUUAUAUUAACUAAACUUCAGCUAACAAUGAUAUAUGCAAGUUUUUAUAUUUUAAAUAACAAUACAUAUGCUAAACUUAAAUUCAAAGAGAGAAAUAUAAAUGUAGCUCGUCGACACACAAGAUCACCUCCACCAUUAACUUCUAUUUCCAUAAGAACUAUGUUAACUUAUCAACGAUAUCACUUAGGUUUGAUAACUUGAUCCACAAGCAAGAAUCCUCAACCGUUUAACAUCAUGUCCUCAGUCUACAGAAAUUGUUCAGCAGAUAUAUCUUGCAUGCAACAACAUAUAACAGAUCAACCAAGGAAUCUCUAAACAAAGGAUGCGAUUUCAACCCUACACUCGAGGUUUUCCUUUGAACAAAAAGAUGCCUCGUGAAUGUUGUGGGAACCCGACUGCAUGACCUCAAAAGAAUCCGGAAGAUGGGAGUAAAACGGACUAGUUAAUCCAAACAAAUUCCCGAAACAGUAUUCGACAUUCAAAUAAUUAAUACAUAUUACGGUUUGUCCCACAACUAAAUGCAGUCAUUCAUUAAAGAAGAAAACUCCAUCAACUAUGAGAAAGGAAAAGCUCAAGGACAUAUGAAAAUUUUAUUUUAGGUUGAAGGCAAGGUUUCAAUCUACUAAGCAAGGUUCCUUUGCCCUAGAGAAUUCUCCAACUGACACUGAAAUCUAAAUUCUCCUUGUGAUCACUGACAGAGCUUACCUCACAGAGAUUUGGCUGCUGCAACAAUACUCUCUGCUGUUAUGCCAAACUCCUUGUAUAUUCUCCCAGCACGAGCACUUGCUCCAAACCGGUCAAUCCCGAUCGCCUUGCCUUUGCUUCCGACAUACUUCUCCCAUCCAAGCGUGACCCCUGCUUCGAUACUAAUCCUUGCAGUGACAGCAGCGGGGAAGACACUCUCCUUGUAUUCGUCUGGUUGCUCAUCAAACAACUCCCAGAAAACAAGAGAUACCACACGUACUGUUUUCCCCUCCUUCCUUAGCUCAUCUGCGGCCUUCGCUGCAAUCUCCAAUUCUGAACCAGUGCCGAUCAAAAUCACAUCUAGUUUGUUACCAGUAGAAUUAUCAGAAAUGGUAAAUCUUCCCUUCUCAACAUCUUCAAUUGAUGUUCCUGGAAGUUGAGGAAGCUUCUGUCGUGAGAGAGCAAGGACUGACGGUCUCUUCCUGUUGAGCACCGCAACCUUGUAGGCCCCAGCAGUCUCGUUCCCAUCAGCAUGCCUGAGCAUCAGAAUGUUGGGCAUGGCUCGGAAGCUUAUCAAAUUCUCAAUUGGCUGAUGGGUAGGGCCAUCUUCCCCAAGACCAAUUGAAUCAUGUGUCAUCACAUAGAUGACUCCUGCCCCAUGUUAGAAAUAAAAUUCAAGGAAGUCGUUCUUGAGUUUGAAAUAAUACUCCUUAUUUAUACAUGUUAGAAGGAAAAAAUUUUCUCAAUGAGGAUUUUUCUUAAUAGAUUUACGAUAUUUUCUCAUGUAAUUAAGGAGAUAUUAGCUGUUGUUAAGGCUAUUAUCAAAGGAGAUCCACUAGUUGAUCAGUCGUAUAUAUGUGAGAAACACGUAGUUGAUAUCUGACAACUUGUUCUCAUACGAAGUGAAAGUCGAUGACUAUGUAUUUCAUGCGUGAGUGGAAUACUGGAUUGACGCAUAGGUAAGUGGCUCCGACAUUAUUACAGUAUAUUGUAGGAGUAGAGGUAAGGUUGAUGUCAAGUUUCUUGAGUAGAUUCGUAACCCAAUUGAGUUCUGCAACAAUGGUUACUAUGACAUAGUAUUCAGCUUCAGUUGUAGAACGUGCAAUUGUCUUUUGCUUCUUAAAACUCCAACUAAUUGGAUUAGGUCCAAGGAAGAUGAUAUACCCCAACGUGGAUGUUCUCUGUCAUCAAAAUUCUCUACCUAAUCAGCAUCAACAAAAGUAUGGAGAUGAAGGGGAGAGUGUUUGCUGAAAAAGAGUCCUGUAAAGAUAUCAGAAAAUUCGUUUGAUUACAGACCAAUGCAUAGUAGAUAGUCAAUGUAUGAAUUGAGAUAAUUUAUUGACCACAAAUAAGAUAUCUCGACUGGUAAGAGAUAAGUAUUGUAAGGAGCCAAGGACUUAUCGGUAUUAAGUUGGGUCUAUAGUAGGGCUUCCAUCACAUAGUUUGAGUGACUCUCUAGUAGACAAAGGUAUUGUAAUUACUUUUAUAUCUUACAUGUUUGUUUUAGAUAAUAGAUCUUGAAUAUACUUUUGUUGUGAUAGGAAGAGUCUUGAAGAUGUGUAUGUUGCUUCUACACCCAAAAAAUAGCUCAAGGUUCCUAGAUCUUUAAGGGAGAAUCGAUCUGCUAAAUGCUUGAGGAAUGCCUUGAUUUUCAAAGGAUUAUUGUCUGUGACAAUAAUAUCAUCCACAUAUACUAGAAUAUAUAUUAUAUUAACACUUUGGUGACGAGAAAAUAGGGAGGUAUCAGACUUGGAGUUGAUGAAGCCAAUUGAUGACAAAAAUGAGCCAAGUUCGAUGUACCAAGCUUUUAGAGCUUGACGAAGAUCAUAAAUAGCUUUUUGUAGUUUACAAACAUGCUUUGGAUAUUGAGGGUAGAUGAAGCUAGGAGUUACUGCAUGAAGACAUCGUCAGUUAGGGUCCCUUGUAAAAGGCAUUGUUAACAUCGAGUUGUCAUAAAUGCCAGCCUUAUGAGAUGGCCAAACUCAGAAUAAGUCGAAUUGUUGUGGGUUUAACAACAUGACUAAAUGUCUCUGUGAAGUCAAUACCAGGAUGUUGAUGAAACCAUUUGGCCACUAGACGCGCUUUAUAUCUGGCAACAGAUCUAUCUAAGUUUCGCUUAAUUUGAAAGACUCACUUAUACCCGAUGAUGUUUUAUGUGGGAUGAGAGGGUAUAAGGGUCCAUGUAGAAUUAUGGAGGAGGGCAUCAUAUUCUUCACACAUUGAUUUACGCCAGUAUGGAGAUUUUUGGGCUUGAGUAAUUGUGGUAGGUUCAGUGAUCUCUGACGAGGAUGUUGUGAUGGUAUGUAGGUUAAGGACUAGUCAUGGUUUAAAGACACCACUUUUGGAGCGCAUUGUCAUAGGAUGUCCAGGGGUUACAGGGUGUGUUGUAGGUACAGGCGGUGGAGAGGCACUAACACGAGUUAGGGUAGGCUGGGGGACUUCAGUGUCAUUGGUCCUAGGAGAGGAUAAAUAUGGUGGUUGUGUUUCCGAGGGCAUACCUUCAGUCGUAGAGGAACCUUGUGAAGAAGAGAGAGGCACAACAGAGAGGGUGAGGAGCUGUUAAACCAGGAGAAGGAGAUAAUGUGGAUCCUAAGGAGAAUGACUGGAUGGUAGGUGCUAUGGGAGACUCGGUUGACGGGAUUGAUGACAUACUCCAGUGAUAUAUAUGUGAUGGAGUAGGUCACACAGCAGGAGACUCAAGGUUUUGAAAUGGAAAGGUAGUCUAUAUAAAAAUAACAUGACGGGACGUAAAGACUUUUUGAGAUUGAGGUUCAUAGCAUCGAAAGACAUUAUGUUCAAGGGAGUAUCCAAUGAAAAUGCAAGGAUUAGAUUUUAAUGUUAUCUUAUGUGAGGCAUAGGGACGGAGCCAUGGAUAACAUAAACAUCCAAACACUUUGAGUUUUUGAAGGUUUGGGGAUUUAUGAAAUAGUUUUUCAAAUUAUGACUCGUACUUGAGGACUGGAGUAAGCAUACGAUUAAUGAGAUAGAUGACAGCUUGAAAUGCUAUAGUCCAAAAGGUUGUUGGUAUAGAGGCUUGGUGUAGGAGUGUGAGACCAGUUUCAACUAUAUGUCGAUAUUUGCAUUCAAUAGAGCCAACGAGUUGAGGAGUAUGUGAGGGUGACUUGAGGUGUUGUAUACCACAAGUAGAGAGGCAGGAUGUGAGAGAUUGAUAUUCGCCUCCACCAUCAGAGUAAAUAGUUUUAAUUUUAGACUAAAAGAAGUUCUUUACCAAUCUUCGAAAAUUGGUAAAGAUUGUUGAAACUUCAGAUUUAUGGUAAAGAGGGUAUAACCAUGUAUACUUGGUAAAAUAAUCUACAAAAAUAACAUAAAAUCUGAACUUGUCAAAGGAAGUGAUUGGAGCAGGGCUCCAAACAUCAUUGUAAAUAACCUCAAAAGGUUUAGAGCAGGAUAUGAAGGAUCUUCCGAAGGGGAAUCUAUAACUUUUAUUGCUUAAACAAGCAUCACAAUGAGUUAUAAUAUUAUUGGUUUUAAGCGUAGAAAGAGAAUAAUAUGAAAGUAAUUUUUGCUGGAUAAAGGAUGAGGGAAGAUCAAGACGACGAUGCCACACAUCAGUUGGAGCUACGACAGAAGAGUAGGUAGUAGGCUGAGUGAUUUGAGAAACUAACGAUCACUCAUAAAUAUUAUCCUUACUCUGAUCUCGGACCAAGGACUCCAUGCUUAAAUUCUUGACAAGGUCGAGAUCCUUAUGGCAGCUCUCAUCUCUCAUAUAGUCGGUGAAAACAAAGAAAGUAGCACAGUAAGGGAGAAGACCAGGGCUGUGAAGGGCAAUGCCGUUGCAGAUGGCACCCAUCCCAUGUUCUUUAACCCCGAAACGAACAUUCCGUUCAUCAGGUGUGCCCGUUUGGAAGUUACCAAACAUCUUCAACAAUGUCAUGUUGGAGGAUGCAAGGUGUACUUUUGCAAGUGCAUUCAGGUUCUGCUGCGAUAAAUUUCUAGUUGCAUCUGCAGGACUUUCAGGAGUAUAUGUUUGGAAAAGAAGCAAAGAAGUUAUUUUCUAGUGUAAUCCAUCUCACAACUAUAAUAACAGAUAUUGUAAGAAGAACGGAAGGUGAAGGGUCAAUCGAGGAGGUGGUCACCGGAAGUGCUUUCUCCCAUCUGGUAGGCAAUUCUUCUGAUAUGAUAGCUUUCAGCUCUGCAGCAUCCUCCUUGUACUUCUCUUCAUACUCCGCAAAUCUGGCAUUCCACUCAGCUUCAAGAGCAGCACCUUCAGGGACAUGGCACCAGUGACUGAAGCAUAAAACCAGUGCAUAUAUUCACAUAACAAAAAAAAUAUUAUUUUUAUUCGACAAUUAUAGUAGGAAUUACAAAGUUUCUGGCCUCUUCAUAGAAAGGUUCAUAUGGCCAUUCGAGACUUUUCCUAGUUGCAUCAACUUCCUUGUUACCCAAUGCACUUCCAUGUACGCUGUAUGUGUUUGCCUUGUUUGGUGAUUCAUAUCCAAUGGUCGUAGUGACAUGGAAGAAUUCAGUAUUUCGUCAAAAUUCUGAUACUCCGAAAGCAAAUGCAAACUAGUUGAUCAUGUCCUUGAUAAUAGGAAUAUAAAAAGAAAUAACUUUUGUAUAUGAACAAAUAUUAGCAGGUCAUAACAUGUAGCGGAAUUAAAUUGAACCAUAAUAAAAUAGAACAUCAAGAUAUACGUGAAAAACCCCUUCAAUGUGAAAGGUAAAACUCAUGAGGCAAACUAGAGAUAAUUUACUAUAAGAAUAAUGAAUAUAUAAAUCUCAAUCUCGUGUUGAAAACCCUAGCAACAAUCACAAGAGAAUAACUAGGAUACAUGGAUCACGUCACUGUGCAUAGUAUCUAAAUCCUCCCUAAUUCUUCUUAAGUAAUCACAGUAAGAAUCUACUAUAGAUCUGAUCUAAUAUGAGAUGAAAACAUUGCUAGAUGAUUGAGAACAGUCUAUCUGUGUUGUCCUUAUCUUCUUCUCUUUUUUUCUCUUCCUUUUCUGCCUCUUUUUAUAACCACCACACCCCCCUAAUAUAAAUUAGGGUUAGGUUAAGAGGGGGUGAGUUAUGGGCUGAUAAAGCCCACCUUGGGCUGAAUAUGGCUUGUCAGCCCAACAACCUCCCCCUUCAAACCAUAAGGGAGGCUAUCCCAAGACUCCUCAAUAUGAAGCCUUGCUGACCAACUGUCGGCAUAUCUCAUGUCUUUCUUUUGGUAAGGUCUUUGUCAACAUGUCUGUGUGAAUUUUCUGAAGCUGCAACUACUUCUCUUCAAAUACAGUGGUAUCUGAUAUUUAUAUGCUUUGACUUGGAAUGAAACAUUGGAUUCUUACAUAAAUGAAUGACACUUUGGCUGUCACAAUGCAUCACAUAAUUUUUCGGUUUCAGCCCCGAUUCUUGUAAGAAUUCUUUCAUCCAUAACAUUUUUUUGCAUACCUCUGUAGCAGCAAUAUAUUCUGCCUCUGUGGUAGAGAGAGAAAUACACCUUUGCAACCUGGAUUGUCAUGACAUAGCUCCCCCUGCAAAAGUAAAUACAUAACCUGACGUGGACUUCCUCGUAUCUAUAUCUCUUGCCAUAUCUACAUCUGUAUAACUUGUCAACACAGGUAGUCUAUCUCCAAAGCUUAAACAAACCUUAGAGCUUCCUCUGAGAUAUCUAAAAAUCCACUUCACUACUGUCUAGUGUUGUUUGACUAGAUUUGCAAGAAAUCUGCUAGUAAUACUAACUACACAUAUGAUGUUCGGCCUCAUACAUACUAUUGCAUACAUUAAACUUCCGACUGGUGAAGCAUAAGGAACCUUUUGCAUUUUCUUCUUCUCCUCAUCACUUGACGGACUCUGUUUUGAGCACAACUUGAAGUGACCUGCAAUUGGAGAACCAACUGGUUUUGCAUUAUUUAUACUGAAUCUUUCCAAUACCUUCUCGAUGUAUUUCUCUUGUGACAAUCAAAUCUUCUUAUUUUUCCUAUCACGAAAAAUUUGUAUACCCAAUAUUUGCUUUGUUGGCCCCAUGUCUUUCAUUAUAAAAAACUUACUCAGUUCCUUCUUUAACCUAUCAAUUGUAGACAUAUCUUUCCCAAGAUAAGCAUAUCAUCAACAUAAAGUAAGAGAAUAAUAAAAUUCUCACCAAACUAUUUGAUGUACACAUAAUGAUCUGAAGCCAUUCUUUUAUAUCUAUUUUCUGUCAUAAAUGAAUCAAACUUUCUGUACCACUAUCUUAGAGUUUGUUUUAGCCCAUACAAACUCUUCUUCAACUUAUAAACAAAGUUCUUUUUACCUUUGACUUUGAAGCCUUCUGGUUGUUCUAUAUAAAUUUCCUCCUCCAAGUCACCAUGAAGGAAAGUUGUCUUCACAUCUAACUGCUCAACCUCCAAGUCCUGGCUAGCAGCAAUACCAAGAACAACACGAAUAAAAGAUAUUUUAACAAAAGGAGAAAAAAUCUCUUCAAAGUCAAUACCUUUCUUUUGACCAAAGUCUUUUACAACCGAUCUAGAUUUGUACUUUGGUUGAGAAUAAUAUUCUUGAGUCUUCAACCUAAAAACCCACUUGUUCUUUAAAGCCUUCAUUUCAUUUGGUAGUAGUACCAAAUCAUUAGUGUAGUUUUUCUGAAAGAGCAUUCAUCUCUUCCUGCAUAGUAACUAACCACUUCUCUUUUUGCUCAAUUUCAACUGCUUCUUGGUAACUCUCUGGUUUACCUGCAUCAAUAAGCAUCACAUACAUAUCUGUAGAGUAUCUUAUGGAAGGUUAACGUUGUCUAGAAGAUCUUCUCAACUGACGUUCUGUGGGAAGUUGCUCUCCAACUUCUUCUUGCUUAAUAUGUCCUGCAGGUAGAUCAACAUCAGACUCUACACUAUCUUCCUACACAUCUCCCCCAUCACCCUUAUAUACUAGAGGAGUAACUGGAUCACAAUCUGCUAAUCCUUCUGCAGAAGUCUUUGGCCGAUGUCUUCUUCUUCAAAUCUUCAAAGGUUUGAUCCUCAAAGAAGACUAUAUCUAUGUUUUUGAACACCUUCUACUUUUUUGGAUCCCAAAGCCUGUAACCAAGCUGAUCAUGAGUAACCAAGAAAAAUAUAUUCUUUAGUCUUACCAUCCAACUUGGACCUCUCAUUAUCUGGAACAUAUGCAAAUGCACGAUAACCAAACACUCUCAGAUGCUUGUAGAAAACAUCUUUCCCUAACCAUGCAUGCUCUGUAAUGUCACCAUCUAGGGCUGUACAUGGUGACAAGUUGAUCACAUCAACUGUAGUCCUCAAAGCCUCAUCCUAAAACCUUUUGGGUAGUUUGGCCUGUGAAAGCAUACAUCUAAUCUUUUCUAUGAUGGUGUGGUUCAUCCUCUCUGUAAUUGCAUUAUGUUGAGGUGUACUAGGAACUGUCAUUUCAUGUUGGAUCCCAUGUGACCUGUAAUAAUCAUUAGAUAAUCCUGUAUACUCACCACCAUUAUCUGAUCUUAUGCAUUUCAAUUGCCUCUCUGUCUCCUUUUCAACCCUGACAUAAAACUCUUUGAAGACAUUAAUAAUAUGAUCUUUGGUCUUCAAAGCAUAGGUCCAAACUUUCCUAAAAAAAUCAUCUAUAAAAGUGACAAAAUAAAGUGCACCACUUAUACCAGAAAUAUCAACAGAUCCACCAAGAGUUUUUGUCCUCAAAGGAUCACAUACAUCAGUAUAAACAUGGUAUAAGACAUGUAUUUUUCUAGACAUAGCAGGACUAGCAAAUGAAACUCUAUGUUAUUUACCAGCCAAACAAUCAAUACAAAGGUUCAAAUAUGUACCUCUGAGAUCUGACAAUACCUCUCUCUUGGAAAGAGCUUGUAGCCCCUUCUCGCUCAUGUGUCCCAGUCGCCUAUACCACAACUCUAUGCUGAAGUCUUUCUCUGUACCAUUUAACUGCUCACCAUAAGCUUUAGCUUGCAACCUAUACAAAGUAUGAUAUUUUUUUCCACUAGCCACAAAAAGAGAACCCUUACUGAGCUUCUAUUGCCCUUUGUGAAAUCUGUUUUUAUAGUUUUCAUCAUCUAGUCUUCCAACUGAAAUUAAAUUCAGUCUUAAGUCAACCACAUGUCUCACAUCCUUAAGCACCAACUUGCAGCCAAUGUUGGUCUUUAUAUGGAUGUCACCCAUACCAAUGAUGUCUGUCGUGCCAUAGUUGUCCAUCUUGACAACACCAAAAUUUUCAGACCUAUAUGUAGCAAAAAACUCCCUCCGUGAUGUAGUAUGAUAAGAAACACCUAUAUCAAUCACGCACUCAAGAUCUUGACACAUAAGAAAAAAUAUCAUCAAAAGGAGACAAAAUCAAAUAAUCACCGCCCUGCACUAUAAUUGUAAUAUUAUCUUUUAACUCUAUAGACUUCACACUUUUUCUAUUUUUCUUGCUCUUCUAAGGUUGCUUACAUUGGUUAUUGUAAUAUUUUUUCUCACCAUAGUUAUAGCAAACAAUAUCUUUUCUUGAUCUUGACUUGCUCCUACCCAUGCGUGAACUGCUUCUAGACUUUGACCGUCCUCUGUUCUCUGAGAUAAGUGCUUGUGAAUCAUUCUGAGAUGUUGCUGAAUUCUUUCUUCUCAACUCCUUAUUCAACAAACUGUUUGUUACUUAACUCAUUGUGACAACACCAUCUGACGUAGAAUUACUAAGGGAAACCACUAGUGUCUCCUAACUUUCUGGUAAUGAACUGAGAAGUAACAAUACUACCUGCAACUCAUCAUCAAGAAACAUUUUCAUAGAAAAUAACUGGUUAGUAAUACUUUGCAUUUCAUUCAAAUGCUUAAUAAUAGAAGCACAUUCUCUAAAUUUUAGGUUUAUAAGUUUUCUGAUCAAGAAAGCUUUGUUACUAGCUGUUUUUCUUUCAUAGAGACCUUCCAAUUUUUUCCAAAGAGAAUAUGCAGAACUUUUAGUAGAAACAUAGUGAAAGACACUAUCAUCAAGCCACUAUCGAAUAAACCCAACUGUUUUUCAAUCUAACCUCUUCCACUCAUCAUCUAUCAUAGUUGUGGGUUUUGCACUAUCCCCUUGGUCCAUACAAAUCUUUGUAAUAUAAAAGAUCUUCCAUUUUUUGUUUCCAUAUUAUCUAAUUGUUUCUAUUUAAACUAAUCAUGCGAGAAACAUUACUGGCCUCUAUGUUCAAACACAAAAAUUAAAUCACCACAACUCUGCUCUGAUACGAGUUGAUGGGAUAUAAAAAGAAAAUAACUUUUAUAUAUGAACAAAUACUAGCAGGCCAUAAUAUGCAGAGGAAUUAAAUAGAACCAUAAUAAAAUAGAACACUAAGAUAUACGUGGAAAACCCCUUCAAUGUGAAGGGUAAAAAUCAUGUGGCAAACUAGAGAUAAUCCACUAUAAGAAUAAUGAAUAUAUAAAUCUCAAUCUCUUGCCCAAAACCCUAGCAACAAUCACAAGAGAAUGAUUGUGAUACAAAGAUCACGUGACUGUGCACAAUAUCAAAAUCCUCUAUAAUUCUCCCCGAGUAAUCACAAUAAGAGUCUACUAUAGAUUUGAUCAAAAGUACUGCUAGAUGAUUGAGAAUAGUCUCUCGUUGUUGUCUUUAUCUUCUUCCCUUCCUUUCUCUUUCUUUUCUACCUCUUUUUAUAGCCACCAUACCCCUCUAAUAUAAAUUAAAAUUAGAUUAAAAGAAGAUAAACUAUGGACUAAUAAAAUUCGAAUAUGAACUGUUAGCCCAAAACUUUGAUGCCCAAAACGCAAUUCUGAAAACAAGAGUCGGUUUGUCUUUCACUGCCUUUGCUUCCAUAAUGGCAGCACGAAUAUCAUCAUACCCGGUGUUUCCAUUCUUCACCCAGAUGGUAUGCCACCCAAGAGCCUCAAAACGAUCAAUAACAUUUCUGUAAAUGCAAUCUGUGUCACCAUCAAUGGAGAUGUGGUUGUCAACGUCAAAAGCGAUAAGUUUCCCUAGGCCCCAUGCCCAGCGAGAGAACAAGCUUCGUUUGCGAUGCCCUCCAUUUGACAACCAUCCCAAAACAUCACAUAUCUACACCAUCAAAAUCAAGCUAGUCUUAUGCACAAAAUGCAGCACACAAAUAUGAGGAAGAUAGAAUUGGGUAAUCGUUACGUGUAAUGGUCAAUAAUCUCAUUGUCAGGCUUAUUGAAACGGGAAACUAGGUGUCGCUCAGCGAGUGCCAAACCAACAGCAUUAGCAACACCUUGACCGAGCGGACCUGCAACAUUUUGUGACAAUUAAUUGAAUCGUAAAAUGAUAUAGAAUCGAACCAGUAGUGACUUCAAUUCCUGGUGUCUCGAAGUUCUCAGGAUGACCAAGGAGUUUUGCUUCCCCAUUGACGGAAUUGCUUCGAGUCUUCCAUCUAAAAUCAGAUUACAAUCAUCGAAACUACUUCAGUCUGAUACAAAUCAAAGCAUGACCACUGAAACCACUGAACACUGAGCUCUCAUUCACAUAAUCAAGGUGAUGAAAUGCAAGAUUUCAAUUAUAUCUAGGAAGCUGCAUCCCAUGAAGUGGAGUGCACUAAUAUCAGCUUUUCACGACAGGCCAUUGCUAAAUAGAUUGGUUAACAUAGAGAUGCCUGAAUGAACCGUUCAAACGAGAAGUUCUCCCACUUUAGAAACUCUAUAAUUCCAACAAAAUAAACAUAGAUAUCCCCACGAUUAAGAACAAAGAAAAAGUUAAGAGGACUACCAUAUCUAUCAAAUUCUCUUCUUGUCAGGCUGAGAAAUAUGUCAAGAAGCAGAAGACUUCGCGAUAGAAUCGAUCAAGAAAUCUAAGAUUUAGCCAAGCAAAAGCGGCCAAAUAGAACUUCUCAUAAACCACAGAUAAGAUCAAAGUAUACGGGUAAAAGAAGAAGAAGAAGAACGAUCCAAAUCUCUGAAGAUAAAGAUGGCAAAAGUAAGAUCACCAUCAAGUUCCCAAUAUUCUUGGUAAUAUCAUCGUCGAAUCUGGAAAUAACUCUCGGGACAGAUCGAAGGCCGUACCUUGACGCUAUCGUAGCCAGCAAGAUGGAGCAGGGCGUCUUGGAGCAUGCAUCCAUGGCCGGCGGAGAGCACAAACCGGUCGCGGUUGAACCAGUAGGGGUUCUUGGGGUUGUAAUUCAUGACCUCGUCGUACAAGAUGUGGCCCAUGGGCGCGCACCCCAUGGGGAGGCCCGGGUGGCCUGAGUUGGCCUUCUCGACGGCGUCGUGGCGAGGAACCGGAUGGUGUUGACGGACUUCUCCACGAGGGCAUCCGUGGCGGCGGCCUCGAGGGUCUCCACCGAGGCGGACCUGGCGGGCGAUGCGCGGCGAGAGGAGCAGGGCUUCGGCCGUCGGCGAGAGGUAACGACUGCCGAUUACUGUUGUCUUCUUUGCCUCGUAUCUCUUUUCACACGUCUAAGAAGAGGGCAAACAGUAACGUGAAAAUGUAAUCCGUUGUAGUUGAUCAGUGGUGCCUCAAUAUCUCACGCUCUUAGCAGAAAAUAUUGUGUUAUGUUUUGAUCGUGCAUUUGCUGCCGCCGUCGCUGCUGCCGGUGAGACCUCCCAGUUGCUAGCGGGAUUGACGCAAGACGAAGCAAGGGGAGCUAUUAUUGCACGAUUCCCGCGCAGCAUCCUCCACUAUGAUGCAGGCGCACAGAGAGCCAACUAUGCCACGGUGGAAACUACAAUGUCUGUUUCCUUGAUUUCCAUUCUGAUCCCCACCCGCCGUGCAGUUAAUUUGGGAAUCUGACCACGGAUAGAUUGACAGUGUCAGAAUCACCGUGGUGCAUGUGAGCCCUGCAUCCAACAUCUGUUGGUUCCAGCUCAUACGUGUGCUUGGACUUUGAGUUCAAAUUUAAUUUAUAAAAAAAAAAGCCUGUAGAGACGUUCGGGCAGCGAACUGUGGCGGCGCUGAGAAAAGGAACACAGAAAAAAAAAAAGGUUAAAGUUUUGAAAAAUCCUUACAAGUUCUAAAAUUUUAAUGAUAUCAAUCUAUAGUUUAUUCUCUUUAAGAUGCUUUCAUACUAUAUUAACUUUAUAAGAUUUAAAUUUUUUUUUUAUAAAAUCUAUAUAUGGUAAUAAUGAUAUGUUAUUCUUGAUGUUAUUAUGAUCAUUAUUUUAGAGAAGAUUCAUUGUAAAUCUAUUAUCAUUAUUAGUGAUAGUACAAGUUUGAAGUAAAUUAUGGUCUGUGAUUUUUUUUGUACUGGGUUUUUCACGUAAAAAUUUCGAUGUCCCAUUGUGUGAUUGAUUUAUUGUUCUACUGUUUAUGCCAUUGAUUAAUAUUUACUUUUGAUAAUAAAUUAAUAUUUUGAUGAGGAACCCAUUUUGAUACAAGGAAAAAAAAUAUUCCGUUAUAACAGUUUUUCUUAACAAGUGGUAUUAGAGCUCUAGGUUGUUUGGUGGUAGUGCUUCUUGUGUGACUACAAUGUAAAGAGUCAAACGGUAUGAUUAAAUUAAACUCAACAAAUUAUUAUACUUGGAGGCAUAUGAUGGAAGAUUUGCUAUAUUGUAAAGAUUUGUAUAAACCCAUUAAAAUUAAAGAAAAACCCUAUAUUAUGGAAGAUGAGGAAUGAGAGGUUCAAUAGAGAAAAACUAUUACCUAUAUUAGAAGAUGGAUGGAUAUAAAUUUGCAUGAGCAUAUUUCUGAUGAAACUAGAGUUGAUAUUAUUUGACAAAUGUUAGAGAANNNNNNNNNNNNNNNNNNNNUGAGAGGUUCAAUAGAGAAAAACUAUUACCUAUAUUAGAAGAUGGAUGGAUAUAAAUUUGCAUGAGCAUAUUUCUGAUGAAACUAGAGUUGAUAUUAUUUGACAAAUGUUAGAGAAUCUCUUUGCGAAAAAGAUAGUGGGAAAUAGAAUUUCUCUCCUUAGAAAGCUUGUCAAUUUGAAGUAUAAAAAUGGUGGUAAUAUUAUUGAGCAUAUAAGCCUGUUUAAGAGUCUUACAAACAAGUUGGUUGCUAUGAAAAUGAAUAUAGAUGAUGAGAUACAAGUUGCUGUUGAAGGUAAUAUCAUUAUUGUUUAUGAUGACGGUUGUGUUAGUCUUGCAACUCAGGACAAUAAUUGAGUAAUUGACUCUAGUACUUUAUUUUAUGCUACUUCUCAUGGUGAUUUCUUUAUAUUUCUUACAUUGCUGGUGAUUUUGAUAAUGUCAGAAUGGGAAGUAGUGGUACAUAUAAGAUUUUAGGUAUUGAAGAUAUUUGCUUGGAGACUAGUAUUAAGAGCAAAUUGAUACUAAAAGAUGUCAGACAUAUUUCAGAUAUUCAUCUUAACUUGAUAUCUACAAGCAUACGUAAUAAUGAGGGAUUUACACAUUUUUUUUAGAAAGCAAAUGAAAACUCACUAAAGGUUCUUUAAUUAUGGUAAAAGGAAAAAAGCUAAACUCUUUUUAUAUCUUGGAAGCUAAGUUACACAAAGAAGAGAUUAAUGUAAUUCAGAAGGGUAAAAGUAUAGAUUUUUGACACAAGAGGCUUGGUCAUAUCGGUGAGAAGGGACUUCAAACUCUUGUUAAAAAAUAGGUCUUAUUAGAGUUGCAAGGUACAUCUCUUAAAUCUUGUGAUUAUUGUUUAGUUGGAAAAACACAUAGAGUUGUCUUUCAUACAUAUUCAUUAUCUAGAAGAUCAAAUAUUAUUGAUUUAAUUUACAUUAGUGUCUAUACUAUGUAAAUUAGAACUCUUGGAUGUAUUCUUUAUUUUAUUACUUUCAUUGAUAACCAUUCUAGAAAAAAAUUAGAUUUUUGCUUUAAAAUCUAAAGACCAUAUACUCGAUGUUUUCUAAAAAUUUCAUAUUAGUAUUGAAAGAAAAACUAAUAGAAAGCUAAAGUGUAUUCGAGCAGAUAAUGGUGACGAGUAAAAGGGUUCUUUUGAGAAUUAUUACAGGUUCUAUAGUAUCAGACUUGAGAAAAUAGUUUCUGAAACUCCUCAGUAAAACAGUGUAGUAGAAAUAACGAACAUAACCAUUAAAGAAAUGAUUAGGUGUAUGCUUUCCCAUGGUAAGUUACCAAAAUCAUUUUAGGGGGAGGCUAUGAUAACUAUAGUUAACUUAAUAAAUCUUUAUUCAUCAGUUCCUUUGAAAGGUGAUGUUCUAAAGAGAGUAUAGAAAGGAAAAAAUAUAUCUUAUAAUCACCUGAGAGUCUUUGGGUAUAAAAUAUUUAUUCAUAUUUCUAAAGAUGAGAGGUUCAAGCUUGAUAAUAAGACAAAAGCAUGUAUCUUCUUGGGAUAUGGUUAUGAAAAGUUUGGGUAUAGAUUAUAAGAUUCAAUGAAUAAGAAGAUUAUUAAAAGCAAAGAUAUUAUGUUUCUUGAAGACCAAUUGUUGUAGUUCAUGAUGGUCAUGAGAGAGAUAAACAAAAAGAUUGUGAUGAGAAUGCCAGUGAUGAUGCUCCUAUAUUUGAUGAUGUUGAACUAACUAAACAAGCACCUCCACUUAUAGUUGAGAUUCCAUUGAGAAGAUCCACAAGAGAGCGACAACCAUAUGCUAGAUAUCCUUCACAUGAGUGUGUUAUGUUUACUAAUGGAAGAAAGUAAAAAACUUAUCAAGAAGCUAUUCUACAUGAGCAUAAGAAUAAGUGGGUUAAAACCAUGCGAGAAGAAAUGAGAUCCUUGCUUGAGAAUCACACAUAUGAUUUAGUAAAAUUGCCUAAAGAGAAGAAAUCUCUCAAGAACAAAUGAGUUUACAAAUUAAAGAUUAAAAAUAAUAGCUCACAAUAAAAAUACAAGGCACAACUAGUUAUGAAAGGAUUCAGUCAAAAGAAAUAUAUUGACUUUGAAAAGAUAUUUUCUCAUGUGAUGAAAAUGUCUUCUAUCUGAGUUGUUCUUGGUUUGGUUGCUCGCUUGAAUUUAGAAGUUUAGCAACUUGAUGUGAAAAUAGCAUUUUUUCAUAUUGACUUAGAAGAAAAAAAUUUACAUAGAGUAAUCAGAAGGUUUCAAAGUUAAGAGAAAAGAAAAUCUAGUAUACAAGGUUAUAAAAAACUUAUAUAGACUCAAACAAGUAUUCAGACAGUGUUACAAGAAGUUUGAUUCCUUUAUGAUGAGUCAAGAGUACAAUAGAACAACAUCUGAUCAUUGUGUAUUUACAAAGAAGUUUUCAUAUGAUGAUUUUAUUGUUCUCCUGCUAUAUAUUGAUGAUGUUGAUUGUUGGUCAUGAUGUUGAUAAAAUUAAGAAGCUUAAAAGAAAGUUAAGUCUUUUGCUAUGAAAUAAAUACUUGACAUGAAGAUUCUUCAUGAUAGGAAGAAAGGGAAGAUUUGACUAUCUCAAGAGACAUACAUUGAUAAGAUUCUUAAAAUAUUCAACAUGAGUAAAACCAAAGCAGUUUAUUCUCCACUUGUAGGUUAUUUCAAGCUUAGUUCGAAACAAUAUCCUAUAAGCGAGAAAAAAAAAUAAAAAAAUAUCUAGAGUAUCUUACUUAUCUAUAGAAGACACUUUGAUGUAUGUUAUGGUUUAUACUAUGUCAGAUAUAGCUCAUUCAAUUAAAGUUGUCAGUCGAUUUCUCUCUAAUCCUGGUAAGAAAUAUUAGGCAGCAGUGAAAUGGAUAUUAAGAUAUCUAAGAGGUAUUUUCAAGUUGUAUUUAUAUUUUGGCAAUAGUGAACCUGUGCUAGAAGGUUACAUAAAUAUAUACAUGUUAAGUGAUACUGAUUCCAAGAAGUCCACUUCGAGAUUUUUGAUGACGUUUACAAGGGGAGCAGUCUCUUAACAGUUUAAGUUAUAGAAUUGUGUUGCUUUAUCAACCAUAGAAGUAGAAUAUAUAAUAAUUACUGAAGCAUGCAAGGAAGCUUUAUGGAUGAAAAAAUUUCUACAAGAAUUGGGCUUGAAACAAGAAAAAUAUACUGUUUACUAUGACAAUAAGAGUGUCAUUCACCUCUCCAAGAAUUUAGCAUAUCAUUCAAGAUCUAAGCAUAUUGAUGUUAGAUAUUACUGGAUUCGUGAUGUGAAAGAAUUGUACUUGGAAAAUGUGUAUACUAAUGAGAAUAGAUCAUAUAUGUUAACAAAGUCUUUGCUUAAGAAGAAGUUUGGAGUAUGUAGGUGAAGAGCGGACUUAGUACAACUCACCAUAUGAGUUGGAGGGGAAGAAUAAUUGGGUCUAAUCCAUAUGUAGGCGUAGACUAGAUGAUUUGGACAUUGAGCCCAAAUUUGAUUUAUUAAAAAAAAAUAAAAACUAUGGAGAUGUGCAUAGCGAGGGUAGCGAACAAGCAUACCUGAUAAAAGGAACAUAGAGAAAAGAAAAAAAAAGGUUUUGGAGAUUUUACUAGAUGAUCGAAUAGUUAAAUUUUAUUGAUUUUAGCUUAAAUUUUAUAUGAAGAAUCUUUAUAAUAAAUUCUACAAUCUUAAUGAUACCGAUCUACAGUUUAUCCCCUCUUGAUUUUACAAUCUAAGAUGUGUUAUGAUUAAGUUAAGAUAUGUAUUCUUGAUAUUAUUAUGAUUUUAUGAUUAUUCUAAAAAAGAUUUAUUAUAAACCUAUUAAUAAUAUUGAUGAUAGUAAAAAAUUAAAAUGAACUAUGGUCUGUCACAUUAGAUUUUUCAUGUAAAAAUUAUAUCGUUAAAACAAUUAUUCGGUAAAAAUUAUUCAUCGGGAGCCUAAGUAUGCAGCAAUAGUUGUCAGGAACCCAUUGCGGACGGUGGCAGCUUUCUCCGCAAGAGGGCCGAGUGCAGACUAUCCGGACAUAGGGAAGGUAUGCAUGCAGCUAUAGUUGUGUCUCUGUUCAUGAUAAUUAUGAAGUCUCCUAUGAUAGAUUGCAAAACGGACCCCUCCCAUAUCUCAAACUUUGAGAAGCUAAAUCAUCAUCUGCUUGAAAGCAAUGAUAAAACCAACCAUAAAUCCUCUGAUAAGCACAAGACGCUGCUGAGGGUCGAUCGUAGCUCCACUGGAAAAUGGAAAAACAGAGCACUGAGCUCAUCCUUUACCUUCUCCUCAGCCUGACAUCACAGCUCCGGGAGUCAAUAUCUUGGCGGCAGUGAGAGAUGGGUAUCAAUUUAUGUCGGGAACUUCAUUGGCUAGUCCUAUGUAUCUGGAAUUGCAGCUGUUCUCAAAGUAGUGCAUCCCGAUUGGUCUCCGGCUGCCAUCAAAUCAGCACUUGUCACCACCGGUGAGUAGGUGUAUCUUUUAUCCGCUCAUUUGCCAACUCUGACAUAUGUAUGUAUGCCUCCGUCUCAAGCAUAUACAACCAACGAACGCAGAAGCGAUUCCACGGAAGCUGGCCGAUCCCUUCGACUAUGGCGGAGGGCAUAUCGAUCCUAACCGAGCAAUGGAUCCUGGACUUAUUUAUGAUAUCGAUCCAAAUGAUUACGUCAACUUCUUUCGCUACACAAACCGUGCAUCGAACAGUACUAGUGGCCAAAAUCACUUGAAGCUGCCCUCAGGCGCCAUUCCUGACCUCAGGAAAUCUGGAGUGGGUAGCAGCCGUACAUAUGAUCUGAAUCUUCCCUCCAUCUCCAUUCCCGACCUGAAAGAAACGCCUGUGAAAGUGCGAAGAACCGUCACUAAUGUGGGCGACACGCAUGGCCGUAGUGCAGUCUCCAGCCGGUGUUAAGAUGGAAGUGCAGCCAUCUGUUAUACACUUCAGGGCUUCCGGCGAGAAGCUUCACUUUGAGGUGACGUUCACGCCGCUUCACAAGGUGUAGGGAGGCUUCACGUUCGGAAGCUUGACUUGGGUUCAUCGACGUGGGAAGAAUUCGGUACGAAUUCCUCUCGCAGUUCGGGUCAUCAUUCGUGAUUUCUUCUCCGACACCUCCUAAGAUUUAAUCCCAUUGUUUGCCACUGGUUACGCAUUCAAGACAGGAAAUAAUGUUAUGUUGGAUACAUGAAAUAAACCUUUUCACAUAAUAGUAAGUACAUAUACGUAGCAUUUAGGAAAACAUUUGGGUGUAUCUGGAAUCAUUUGAAAACCAAGUGAUAAUGUCUAUCCUAUUAUGGAUAAAUUUGAUGUUAAUGGGAGGAAUCCAUACAAUACAUCUCUCUAUUUUGAUUGUCUUAAGUGAAAAUUUGGUUAUGUAAAUUGGAGCUGGAGUCCGAGCUAAUCUUCUUCCUCUUCCAUAUUUGUCUUUUGAUUAUGUUAGGAUGAUUGAAUCCAAAAUACAUCUAAUCCUAUAAAUAUAUUGGGGGUGUAUUUGAUAAAACUCCUCUAAUACUUAAGUUAGUUUGAGGAUUGAUGCAUUUAUAAUACGCUAAGAGUGAUAAGUCAAAAGUACUAAAAGAAUGUUACUCUUUUUUUAGGAAUCCAUAUGAUAGAGCUUUUUAUAACGUAAAUUUUGGAUCAUUAUACUCGCGAACAUAAAUUGAUGUUGGAUAUGUAUAUUCUUUAAUCUAGGUGAAAUUGUUUUGCAUCAAAUCCAAAAAAUAUAUACUAGACACGAUAGAGUCAUUAACAUUUAGAGAUCAUGACUACAUCUUUCAUACUUGAUGGAAGUGGCAUCGAUGUGUCAUCCUUCUGACAUCGAUAUGUGGGUACUUCCAGAUGUCUGUCACAUGACUAUAAGUGGCAUCAAUGUGUCAUCCUUGAGAUAUCCGUCAUUUAGUUCUAAAGUAUAAAUCACUUGAUUAUAAGGUGUCAGAGUCAUCUUUUUUUAGGUAUUGAUUAUUUUAUUAUAUCAAAUUGAUCUCUCAAUUAUAUCGACAUGAUUGAUUUGAUAAAGUUGGAUAAGGUGACUUUAGAUGUCAAGAAAAGGUAUUGGCAUAACAAUGAUUCAACAUUUUAUCGUCCAUCAAAUACUAAAAAAGAAUGACCCAGGACAUCACGUAGGAUGUAGGAACAAUCUUGAUUUUUUUUUUUUUCGGAUAAGGAUAAUAAGAAACAAUAAUUGUAUAAGGAACUGCUGCAAAUAAAAAUCCACGCAAUAGCAUUUGACGUGAAGACUUCAAGUUUUGGGUUUGGACUCUCUUGAAUCUUUGGUGUCUUAACGUUUUAUGUAAAGUAUAUUACUUUAUGGGUGAGUGAAUGGCCGACAUUAGAAAGUUGGACGUCGACAUGGAUGGAAAGAAAUAUCACGGUAACAGUGGAUGCUUUUUUUAUCAUCUUCUUGUCAUGGCAUCAAUUGGUGGCUACUCCAUCAAAUGAGAAUCGAAGCCACGUCCGUUGUAACCAAUGAGAACAAUAAGCCAUGGAUCUGAAUGCCCCUGUUUGAGUCUUCAAAUUGCAAAUUAAUAUACGGAGGUAUAUAUUUCUUAUACGUGAAUAUAUAUAUAUUCCAAAAUUAGAUGGCGUCAAAACAUAAGAAGUUUUUUGUUUGAACCGAGUCUUUGAACGUAUAUUUUCCUACAUGAUAUAAAAAAAUAUUAGAGAUCCUCUAACAAUCCUUGGCUGACAUAAGUUUCUGAUAGAUGAAUUACUCUUAACAUUAAUUAUUAUUAUUUAAUUAAAAAAGGUUAUAUAAGCACGAUUCAAAGUUAGGAUCUUAUAAUGAUCUAUUAAAAUUUUACCCAACUAAACUGACAAGUGAGUGACAUCUCAUUUAGAGCCAUUUGAUUCAUUGUCCUUUUUGCACCUAUGGCAUAGUAGAUUAUUUUUCAUUCCAAAUUAGGAUAAAUUCGGAUAUGAAAGAUACCGGUGAUGUGUGUUGCACGACUAAUAUGAUAUAUUUCCCUUAUCAUAUAAUAAAAUAAUAUCCUUUUAUUUUCAUUAGUCUUUCAUGUCAACAAAGUUAUCCUUGGCUUAAUUCAUCACAAACAAGCUAUCAUUGACCAUCACCACCAUCGGUCAUGUGGCCUCAUAGGCUUAUAAGUAGCGCCAUUGCAGCAACGCUUCUCCUCCACAGCCACAUGCAAGAUGGGUUACCAGCAUCUUCUAUUCUCUAUGCUUCUACUUCUCAUCCUUUCAAGCUUCAUCCAAAUGGCAGCACUUGGACAUACACCAUCAUCGACCAAGGUCCAUGAGCGUCUCUCUAUCAUCUUAACAUUUGAUGUCCACGGACUAACAUCUCAACGGUCUCUUCUGUGUAGCUUCUGUACAUAGUGUACAUGGGAGAGAGGCAACACGAAGAUCCAGACCUCGUGAUUGCGUCGCACCAUCAUAUGCUGUCUUCCGUACUGGGGAGGUAUGCAUUUUUUGCACCAUAUAUAGUUUGUGUUCGUUUCAUCUUUCUGUCAUAUAUGCUCGAUUACAGGUUAUUCUAAUUGGUGAUUCAGCAAGGAGGAAGCCGUGAGUUCAAUUGUCUACAGCUAUAAGCAUGGCUUCUCGGGCUUUGCAGCCAUGCUUACAGAAUCUCAAGCAGACAAAAUUGCAGGUUCUUCCUUCUUCAAUUUCAGGCCUAUUUUACCAGUGACAAUGGAAGCAAGUUCUAAUAUGAUUAACAGCACAACUGAUGAGAACAAUCCAAAAGAUGCAUGCAAGCAUAUAUCUGAAAUUUGAAGGGACGAUAUUGAUCCAGAUAAAUCAGUAUGUGAAAAUAAAAUCUCAAUCACAAUAGUUUUGUGCUUAAUUACGGGAGAUCAAAAGAUUGAUAUACUCCUGAGAGUCGGCUCUUGUGUCGAGGCCACUAAAACAAAAAAUUGGAAGACUUUAUCUCGACCUUUCAUGUGACUUCAUGGUAUUAAUCUAAAUUAAGCCCUUGAUUCCAUGUUGGGUAAUAAUUUUAUAGUUUGUGAUCACCUUAGAAUCAUGAUAAGAAAGUAGGAUUAAGGUGGGCCUUUGAACGCUUCUUUUUAGCUAAACGUCGGGUCAUUAUCAACCUGUUGAAUCGACAGGCUGCUUAAGAUAAGGUUGGUGUAUCGAGAUGAGAGAGAGAGAGAGAGAGAGAGAGAGAGAGAAUCCAUCACGUGUUUAGUAUAUUAUAUCAUAUUUAUACGUAUACAUAAUCCUUAACUAAGAUGAGUAAGCAACUUGAUCAUAUCGCCCUUUUCUUUUCCGGUUAGAAAUGCCGGAAGUGAUCAGUGUCAAUCCAAGCCGCAGCGUUCCACUGCUUACUACGCGAAGCUGGGACUACCUUGAUCUUGGUUUUGAACAACCCCAACCCACAGGACUACUUGCAAGAGGCAACUUCGGCGAUGGGAUCAUCAUCGGCGUCGUCGACACAGGCAAGCAAUCAUUACCUUAUCGUCAUUGAGGUUGCCCGGUCCUACAAAAUUUUCUUAUAUAGGCAUUUGGCCGGAAUCGAGAAGCUUCGACGACCAUGGUUACGGCCCCGUCCCAUCCCGUUGGAAAGGAACGUGUGAAGUAGGUCAAAACUUCACCGUCAACCACUGCAACCGCAAGAUCAUCGGUGCAAGAUGGUACGCCGGAGGCGUCGACCCUUCUCUCAUCGAAGGAGACUACCAGUCUCCCCGGGAUUCCGAGGGCCACGGAACGCACACGGCUUCCACGGCAGCAGGCUCGUUAGUGAGUGAUGCGAGUUUCCAUGGUCUGGGCGCCGGCACAGCGAGAGGAGGAGCUCCUCGUGCCCGGCUAGCAAUCUACAAGGUAUGCUGGGCAGAAGCAGGGUGUCGCGACGCUGCUGUGCUGAAGGCGAUAGAUGAUGCUAUCCAUGAUGGUGUGGACAUCUUAUCACUCUCACUUGGGCGCUUACUUCACCCAAUCUUUCCUUCCAUACAUGCGGUAGCAAAGGGGAUAACUGUGAUCUUCUCUGGAGGCAAUGAUGGUCCCGUCACCCAGACCAUUGCUAAUGACCUGCCGUGGGCGAUCACGGUGGCAGCCAGCACCAUUGAUCGCUCGUUUCCUACCCUCCUAACCCUCGGAGACAACCGAACCGUGGUGGUGCGAACGUGUGGUUUUCACAGACACGCUAAUACAUUUGAAAGUUUGCAUCUAUUUAUAUUGAAUUAAUUGUUCAUGGUUGCCGCGGCAGGGACAAUCCAUCCUCUAUGAAUCCACCGAUGGAGGAUUCGAAGAGCUAGCAGAUGGUGGGAGGUAACUAUAAUUCGAUUGAAUGUUCUUAAAGAAAAUCGUACCUAGUAAUUUGCAUUUGAUCUAUUGUUGCAGCUGCUCGCGGGACGAUCUGAAUUCGAGUGAUGUAGUCGGAAAGAUUGUGCUCUGUUACCAGCUUGCCAUCGCCUCAAGCUCACCACCCAAGCGACACUUUCCACGGGCUGCCUAUAAUGUUCAGGAAGCUGGAGGGAAGGGCAUUAUCUUUGCACAGUACUCCGCCAACAUCCUCGACUUCAUCGACGUUAUUUGCAACGGCACCGUAUGCGUCUUUGUUGAUUACGAGAUCGGCAAACAAAUAACAGAUUAUGUAACGAAUACAAGGUCUGCUCAACUCGAGUUCAGUUUUCCUAAACAGAUCAGAAUUUUCUUUUCGGGAAUAGUAACCACGAAAGGAAAUUGGCAGAUCCCCCCUGGUGAAGGUGAGCCUAACGCAGGAUAUGGUCGGGAGUGGAGUAAUGUCUCCCAGGGUCGCAGCUUUCUCGUCGAGAGGGCCGAGUAUAUUGUUCCCAGAUCUAGUCAAGGUCGGUGCAAUUUCUAUUAUCUACUAGAAGCUCACAUGUUUGGUUCUUUUCGAUGAACUGGUGUGCUCACCAUCACUGCCUUUGGACAGCCCGAUAUCACAGCUCCCGGAGUCCUUAUCCUGGCCGCAGUGAAAGAUUCCUAUAAGUUUGAGUCUGGAACAUCGAUGUCUUGUCCCCAUGUCUCUGGCGUAGCAGCUCUUCUUAAAGCAGCACAUCCCCAGUGGUCUCCUGCUGCCAUCAAAUCAGCACUCGUCACAACUGGUACGUGGAUUUACCAUCCUGCUUCUGCAUCGUUCCGUAGUUCUUCUCUGUCUGCUUUCCUGAUGUUAAAGGAGCAUGACAACCUCUGUUUUAAGCUCAUACGGCCAAUGCAUACGGCUUCCCCAUAGAAGCAGAGGGAGUUCCUCGAAAGCACGCUGAUCCUUUCGACUUUGGCGGCGGUCACAUCGAUCCUAACAAAGCCGUUGAUCCCGGGCUUAUUUAUGACGUCGAUCCCGAAGACUACUUAAAGUUCUUCAACUGCACUUACGGUCCGUCGACCACUUGUGACUUGGUGGACAGUCGGCUGUAUCACCUGAAUCUGCCCUCCAUCUCCAUUCCCGACCUGAAGAAGACACCACUAACGGUGCGGAGAACCGUGACCAAUGUGGGGGACACGGAUUCCAUUUACAGGGCAAUGGGGGAGUCUCCUCCGGGUGUCAACAUGGUGGUCGAGCCUUCUCUUCUUCAAUUCAAUGCUUCCACGACGACGCACACCUUUGCGGUGACGUUCACGCCGCUUCAGAUGGUGCAAGGGGACUUCAACUUCGGAAGCUUGACAUGGAUUGAUGAUGGGAAGCACGCAGUAAGAAUUCCUAUCGCAGUUCGAGUGAUCAUUCAUGAUUCCUUCUCUGAUACCUCCUAAGUCUUGUGGAGGUAUCCGCUCUACGUCGGGUACUAUCGCAAUAAAUGUUGAAGUCGUAUGGGGAAUAAAAAUUAACGUGGUAGGUUGCUUCUGUUAUCCAAAAAUUGAUGCUACUUUUGGUUUAGGCUGUUGUUUUGUACGCUUCAGUAUUUAGCAUCGACGUACCAUAUAUUGAAUUUGAUAAGAAGAACGAGUAUGAUUAUCACGUAAAAGGAAGAGUCUGAUAAUGUAAGAUAUUCUAUCUUUUACUCAAUUUUUUUAUAACUUUAAAACUCUAUAUAUUUCAUGACCUCAUGUUUAUAUAAUCCCAAAGAUAUAUUAUAUUAAUUGUCCUUAAAAUAAAUCACUCUUUUUUAAAAAAUUCUUUCAAAAUCAAUAGUCAAUUUGGUUUAUCCUUUCAUAGGUAUUUAAUCUAUUUUUUCUCAUGAACCUCUUUCUUGAUGCAAUGAACCUCUCUCUUAAUGCAAUAAAUCUCUCUCUUAAUACAAUUAAUCUAACCUCUCUCUUGAUGCAAUGAACCACUCUUACAAUUAACGUAAUCUCUUUAUGAUACUUUAAUAAGUUUAAGUUUAAUUUUAACAUUCUUCCUCCUUAAACUUGUUCCAUCUAAUAUGCUAAGUUUCUUUCAAAGUUAUUGAAAUAUUCUAAAUUUAAAAGUUUUUGUAAGUAUUUUGGCUAUUUGUUCACUUGUCUUGAUAUGAUAUAGCUCCACUUUUUUGUUUUUGACAUGAUCUCUUAUAAAAUAAAAUCUUGUGUUGAUAUACUUCGAUUUUUUAUAGUAGAUUAGUUUUUUGGCUAAAGAAAUAGCUGAUUUGUUAUUAAUAUAAAUCUUGAUUGACUUCUCCUAUAACAUAUGAAGUUUAUGAAGUAAUCUUCUUAGCUAUAUUGCAUGACAAACAUAAGAAGAUGCUGCUAUAUAUUCUGCUUCAUAACUUGAUAGAGUAAUAAUAUGUUAUUUUUUUUUAAGACUAUAUGAAUAUAGUUUCACCAAAAUAAAAUACAAAUCCAAUUGUACUCUUCCAAUCAUCAUAGCUUUCGGCUUAAUCAUUAUCAGUAUAUCCAAUGAGCUCCAACCUUUUGGAUAAUGAAUAAAAUAUUUCAUAUUCGAUUGUUCCUUUAAUAUAUCGUAAAAUUCUUUUCGUGUCAUUUAAAUGAGAUAUCUUAGGAGCUUCCAUAUAUCUACUUAUUAAAUUAACUCCAAAUAGUAUAUCAGGUCGAGUUCACGUCAAAUACCUUAAAUAUCAAACUAGACUUUUAUAAUAAGUUAGAUUAAUAUAUUUUCCUUCACAUUCUUUGGUUAACUUGGUAUCAUAUUUUAUAGGUGUAUUUGUAGGAUGAUAAUAUUCUAUAGAAAAAUUCUUUAGAACUUCAUUUGCAUAAUUUUCUUAUGAGAUAAAAGUUUCUUUAUUGUCUUGUAUAACUUUGAUAUCGAGAAAAUAAGUUAAUAGGCCCAAGUCGGCCAUCUUAAACUUUUUUUUCAUAGAGUGCUUAAAGGCUUUAAUCAUAGAGCUACUAUUGCCUUUAAAAAUUAAAUCUACAUACAAACAUAUAAAGAAGAUAUUUCCAUCGAGUUAAAUUUCGUAUAGAGAGCAUAUUUAUGUGGACACUUGGAAAACUCAUUUUGAAUAAAAUAAGCAUCUAUCAGAGAAUUCCAUGCUUGUGGGGCUUGUUUAAGCCCAUAAAGUGCUUUUUUUAAUAUAUACCUCUUUAUAAAAAAAUUUAUUAAGAAAUACUGAUUUGACAUCAAUUUGUAAAAUUUUCUAUUUCAUUUGAGCUGCUAGGGAGAUAAGUAAUCUUACUAUCUCCAAUCGAGCAACUAGUGUAAAUAUUUCUUCAUAGUCAAUCCCAUAUUGUUGUUUGUAUCCUUUUGCAACCAAUGAGACCUUAUAUUUCUCCACCUUACCUUUUACAUUUCUUUUUGUUUUGAAGAUCCAUUUAACAUUGAUUGCUUGGUGGUUUUUGAAAGUGUUGUAAGCUCUCAUGUAUCUUUUUUAUUAAUAGCAUGAAUCUCCUCAUUCAUAGCUUAUUGCAUUUUUUUUUUCUCUACUAGCUUUUUCAAAAGUUAAUGGAUCAUAUCUUGCAAAAAGAUAGAGUAAAGAAAGUUCAUCAUUAUUAGUAUCAAUCUUUUGAGUCACAUCAUAUAUCUCUUGAAUCAAUCUUAUUUUUCUUAGGACUUCUUGAAUCAUAUGAUCUAGUUGAUCUAGAUGAUGAUUUCAGCAAAGCCUCUUCGGUGCUUACUUGUCUUAUUCUUUUGAAGUUAUAGCUUUCUUAUUCUUAUCCUUGUUAUAUCUCAGAUUUUAAUGAUGAAAUUAAUUGAUAAAUUAUUGAUUUAAUCCAUAUGUUGAGAUAAGUAUUACAAGAUUGACUUCGAUAAUAAAUAAAGCAUAAAGUAGAUAUUGGGUUAGAGUCGAAGAUUGGACGAUAUGACGACGAUUUGGACGAUGUGCUGGAAGUUCGCCAAGAGUUCAUCGGGAGCUCCUCGAGAGUUCGUCAGGAGUUUGCCAAGAGUUCAUCGGGAGCUCACCGAGAGUUCAUCGGGAGUUCGUCAAAAGCGUGCCGAAAGUUCAUCGAGACUUUACCGGAAGAACAAUUGACAUACUAGAUAAAAAUUAUUUAGUUAAUACCUUAAUUAUCAUAAUUAGAACUUAGAUUGAGUUAGGAUUGGGAGGUAAUCUCACUAACUCAGUUAGGAGCUAAUUGGGCCCGAUUUAGGGUAGAGUUAGGCCGGAUGGAAGGCCCACUCGGCCAUUUAGAGCCUUGCCAAGCGGUGGCACUGCCUAGGGUUGGCGAUGGUACCACCUAGUGUCAGAAUGUCAUGCGAUGGUAUUGCCCAGUACUGAUGGUGGUACCACCAGAACCUCAAAAAUUUGAGAUGAGACACUUUUUGGCUCCAAUUUUGAAGUCAUUGGGGCCUAUAAAUACCCCACUCCUUUUUACAUGAAAAGAAAAUAAAAAAGAACAAAAAAGUGUAAAAAAAUCUUUAAGUGUUGGGGUGUAAAACUGUUGUACUAAGGGUCCUCCUCCUCAUUCUUCAGCUUUAAAAUCAUUAGAGAAGAGGUGUGAGACUUAUAAGGGUUAUCUUCUAAACCCGUGAAAAAGAGAAAAACUUUGUAAAAAGGUGGUUGGUCUUCACCUAUUGAAGGAAGACCAUUAGUAGAUAUCGGUGACCUCGACGGAGGAGGAAUCAGAAGUGGACAUAGGUCACAAUGACCGAACCAUUAUAAAUUCGGUGUAUUCUUUCCUUACUACUUUCUUUCAUUACUUAGCUACACUCUACACUUUACAUUUACUCUAAGUCAUUACUUUCCAAUAUGGACUUUGUCGAAAUGAUUUUAUUGAACAAAAUUUUUCAAAUCAACGUAAUUUUUAUCGCUGCACUAAUUCACUCCCCCCCCCUCUUAGUGCAUCCUAACACUCAUCACUUUUUCAGUUCCAAAUUUGUUAUUCAUUAAAUUUAACAUCUCUUGACAUCAUAACUUUAUUUGUGAUAGGAUUAUAGAGUUUGUAGCUACUAAAAUUCUCAACAUAACCUAACAAGAUAUAUCUCUAGCUUUUAUCCUCAAGUUUUAUUUUUUUUUCUUCUAGUAUCUUAGCAAAUGCAACACUUUCGAAAAUUCUCAAAUGAUUGACUCUUGAUUUCCGUAAUCUCCAUACUCCUUUUGGUGUAACAUUACCAACUCGUCUUAUUAGAAACCUGUUAAGCAAAUAAACUAUACAAGCAAUAGUAUCUUACCAAAAUUCUUUAGUAAUUCUUCUUUCCUUUAACAUGCAUUAGACCAUAUUAAUUAGUCCUACUUUUUUUUCUAGGACACCAUUUUAUUAAGGUGUGUAUGACAUAGUGAAUUGACAUAAAAUUUUAUUAUUUCUAUAAAAAUAUUUAAAUUCAUUUGAUAUAAAUUCAUCACCCCUAUCUGUUCUUAAACAUUUAAUCUUAUAACUACUUUAUCUUUCAACUAAAUCCUUAAAUUCUUUGAAUUUGCUUAAAACUUUUUUUUUUCUUUAACAUGUAAACCCAAGUUUUGCCACUAUAAUUAUCGAUAAAAUUAAGAAAAUACUUGCUUCCUUCAAGUGAUAUUAGACUGAUAGGUCCACAAACAUAUGAGUACGCUAGAUCAAGUCAACAUCAUGUUCUUUUUAUUCUUUUGACUUUGAAAGACUUUUUUCUUGCUUGCCCAUGACACAUACUUCACAUAAUUUUGAUGGGUAAUUAAUUCUUGACAUUCCUAUCACUAUAUUAUAUUUCUCUAGAAAUUUUAAAGCCUCAAAAUUUAAAUGAGCAUAUCUAAGAUAUCAUAAUAUAGAAAUAUCUUUAAUAUCAAUUUUAAAAUAAUUUGAUCGAUCAAAAAAUAUAUAAAUGUAAAGGAAAUAUUAUGUUCUUUACUAUUAUCACAUGUGAUAUUAAAUUUAUAUUCUUAUUAUGAAUUAAAAGAGCAAUAUAUUUCAUCUUAAUAUUAUAAUAUUUUUCAAGUAAUUGUCCUAAGCUCAUAAUAUAAUUUAUCAUAUCAGGAACAUAAUAAAUAUCUAAAAUACAUAAUUCUUUCUCAUUAUUAGAUUAAAAAAAAUAUACUUUUUACCUCUUAUUGCUCUUUGAGAUAUAUCACCAAAUGUAAUAUUCUUGAAAUAAUAUGUGAUUUAUGAAAAUAACUCUUUGAUACUAUACAUGUGAUUUGUAGCUCUUAUAUCUAGAUACAAUAUCAUAGACUAAUAUUCUUUCAAAUUAUUAUAACUCAUUAUCAAAACUUAAUUUUUGUUCUUUUCUUACUCAAUAAAAUUUGUAUUAUCAUCUUGAUUAUUAGGAUUAUAAUAAUAUUUAAAGAAGUAGUAUCUAUACCUUUUACAAACAUAGUAUUGUAUUUCAGAUCUUUUAGAAAUUCUAUCACAUCCAUGGUUUCAACUACGUCCUUGACCAUAACCUCAGCCUUUUUAACUUAAAGUUUCUCCAUCACUUUCAUUAUUUUGAUAUUCUUGAUUGGUCUGAUUUCUAUCACCUCUUCCUCUUUAUCCAUGUUCUAUUCCUCUUUGAAAUUUUGAUUCAUAUUUAUUUUCAAGAAUAAGUUUAGUUUGUAGUGCCUGCUUUAUAGAUUUUUUUCUUCUUUUUGUAAGCUUUUAUUCAUGAAUUUGAAGAGAAUCCGUUACUUGUUCUAAAGAUAUUUGUUCCAAAUAUAUAGACUCUUCAAUUGCUAUAAUAAUAAAAUCAAACUUUUAAUAUAGAGAUCUUAGUAUUUUUUUCUUUUAUUCUUUGAUCACUAAUUUAUUCAUCAUUUCAUCUCAUUUGAUAAAUAUUAGAAAUGACUUUUAAAAAAUAAGUAAAAAUAGAUUUAUAAGUACUUUGUUAUAAUUUUUCAAACUCAGCUUAUAAAUGAAAACUUUUUACCUUCUCCGUACCACCGAAUGCUUUUUGAAGCAUUUCCAAAGUCUUUUUUGAAGUCUUUGCUAGAGUGAUGAUCUCAAAUAUUAUAUCAUCAAGCCCUUGGUAGAUCGUGAGCAAAAUUUUUUUCUCUUUCUUUCUUCUAUCUUUAAGUUGUUUUCUUGCUUCUAUAUUCAUUGCUCCUUCUUCUUCUGUUAGACUUAGUUCAACAAAUCCAUCUUUUACAAACUCUCAUACAUCUUGGGAAUCUAGAAGAACUUUCAUUUAGAUACACCAUAUAUCAUUUUUUUUUUUUGUCAAUCUAGAAAUUUAGAGUUGGAUGGUGCUUAGGGAAGAGGCUAUAGCUUAACUUAAGUUCUAAUACCAAAUAUUAAACUCGAUAAGAAGAAGGGAUAGGGUUAUCACACAAAGAAAUAGUAAUAUAAGGCAAGAUAUUUUAUCUUUCACUCAAAAUUCUUUAUAAUUUCAAAACUCUAUACGUUUCAUGGCCCGAGGCUUAUAUAUUCCCCAAAGAUACAUUACAUUAAUUUUACUCAAAACGAAUCAUCUCCUUCAAGAAAUCCUUUUAAGAAUCAAUUGCUAAUUUGGCUAAUCCUUAUAUAGGCAUUUAAUUUAUUUUUCUUCUUGAUGCAAUGAACCUCUCUAUAAUGAAUCUUUUUUUCUAACCUCUUUAAAAUAUUUUAAUAAGUUUAAUUCUAACACCACAGAUUAUAAUAUAGAUUUGAUGGACUCAUUUUUUUCAUAAUAACUUACAAUUUGAAAAUCGGUCUUCACAAAAUAAUUCAACUCUCACUUAUCAAACUAUUUUAGAAGUGAAUAAUUUAAAUGAGAACAUGAUGAAAUUAAGAUAUGAUAAAAGUAUUAUAAACAUGUAAAUAUUUAAUGGGAAAAACAUAAACAAAGCUAUGAUUAGCAAUACCAUCUUUAUGACAUACAAAAAAAUCCAAGCUUUGGAUAUCCAACGUUAUGACAUCAAGUUAAACUCCCUAAUUUAUUUUUUGGAAUUUAAUGAUAAUUUAAUAAAUAAUUAAUGAGAAAGAAAACCUAAUUUAAGUUGUCAUAUCCACUGAUGAUAAAGAAUGUUGCUCAUAUUAAUUCUUAAUUCAUGUCUUGAUGGAAUACAUCAAGACAUUUGACUCUGGUCCUGCCGUCCAUAUAUAUAUUUGCAUUAAUCACGAAUGCCAAAGUACAUGAUUUUGGGGGGAGAAACCAAAAUUCUACUCGUCUGAAUUAUCUUUCAGGAUAUUUAGAUUUUCUCAAAAGAUAAAAUUUUAGACAUUUUCUGAGAGAUCAAGAUAUUUCAAUUAAAGAAUUUUUUUUCAUGAAAUUAACUAAUUCUAGUCCACUAUGAUGUUUCAUUUUGUACAUGAAUAAAAUUGUUUAUAUGUGGCAUCAGAGCUAUGAUUUUAGACUUAUGAUUUUUUAUUAUUUAAUUUUAUUUUUAUUAUCAAUUAAAAUUAUGAUUAUAAUAUUUUAUGGUAAUUUCAAUUAUAAUUUGUCUUAACAAUUGAAUUUAACUUUGUUUAAGUUAUACCGAUCAUAAAACUCAAUUCACUCUUUUUUUUAAUGAAAUGAAAGUCUAUAAGUCAUAUUAUGGUAAUGAAUUAGAUUAUAACAUUAUAGUUUUAUUUCAUAUAUUAUGAGCUAAAAUCAUGAGUAAUUUAAUAUUUAUAUAUUAAGUGGUUUGUUAGUCAGCAAAGCCGCGAAAGAUUAUGAUUACAUAAACAUCAAUUAAAUAAAGUUCAUAAAUAAACUCUCCAUGAUUUGUGGCUGCUUAUUAAUGAUAUGAUGGUAUAUUUUCUAAUUAUUAUAUUGAUAUUCAUAGUUUAUAAGAACUUUCAGGAUCACCCAAAGGUUGAACUAUUAUUUUUAUAACGCAUGAAUAUAAAUAUAAUAAUUAAUAUAUUCAACUAUAUUUUUUUAUAUAUUUAAAUAUAGUAAAUAUAUUUGAUUUGAAUAUAUUCAAUUAUCAAGUAAAGUGAGAUAUAUAAAAGCAUUAUUGUAGUUAUAUAUCUUAGUUUGUCCGACAGGAUGACUCGGUAAUUUAUGAGAUAGUGUUUAAACUCGAAGCAUUAAAGUGAGAGUAUUUAUCGUGUAUUAUGUAGUGUGUCAUUCUAUCAUUUUAUUAGUAUGCUUCGUUUGUUACAUCAUUUAACAAAUUAAAUUUCUUUGAUUGAUGUGAAUAAGUCUAGUUUCACCUUUGGUGUUUUGAACUUUUGAUUGGUUGAACCGAUUUAAUUAAUCAGCUAGUUUAUUAAAAUGAUGGAAAGAAAAGAUAAUAAUUAUUAAGAAAAAAAAAUUGUUAGAGAGUUGCUUUUAUCAUUUUAAAAAUUUGGAGCUCUAUGUGGAAAUUCCCCCCUAUCACACUGAAAAGCGAAGUAUGAGUUUUAUUGUUGUGCUCGAUGAGACUUGCAAAGGUCCGUGCGUCUACCAUGGUGCAAUAAUGCAUCACGGUUCCCAUCAUCGUAGUGGAAUACGUAUAGCAUCUUGACGGAAAGGCUUGACUUAGUCAAUCAAAUCAUGUGGUGAAUAGGCGACAUGAAACAUGAGAUGAAUGCUCUAUCCAAUCCAAAACCAUCAUCUACUCGUCACGUCAGUUGGAUCGAAGAACAAUCUGGUCCAUCUCUUCCAAUCCAAAACCGUCGAUAGCUGCUCCUUCCAUGAACUUUUCCUGUGCUCAAGGUUACUGAGAUGGAGGGAGAGUCCUUUCACCUACGUUGUGAGGUGACGUCCAUUGUAAUCACCGAGAACUAAACCAAAAUGUCUCUCUAAAAACCUCUCCCCAUCGUAUGUGGUUCUCGCACGACUAACUUUUUUGUGAACGCGUGGUGCGAAUGGUCGAAGCCUCAACUCGUCGGACACCACCUGGUCACCAUUGACUUAGCAUGCCUAUUAAUACAUGAGAUGUAGUCUCACUUGGUAAUUAUUUAGCAACUAUUCGCAGUAUCUGUUUCGUCACUCCUACCUUCUGAAAGCUAAUGCUCAUUCGAAAAGUCAAAAUGGGUUACUAUCAUCUUAUAUUUUUAGCUAUAUCGUAUUAUCAAAUUGCAGAUUGAUAUUACUCGUGUCAUGUUUACUUGUCAGAAGAAGACUUGAACUAGUCCAUUUUGGAUGACUCGUUAAUGCAGCUUCUCCGUAUCCAAAUCAAGACGAGUUCUCAAUAUAUACUAUCCUCUCUCUUUCUGCUUCUCUUCCUCGCCAACUCGCUUUGAAUGGUGACUAAGUAAAGAAAUAAUCAAGGAAAGUGUCAGAUUAGGGUGGGUCUCAACGUAAAGGAGCCAUGCUAGUAAAUUAUAUUAACAUAAAAAAUAUAAUCAUUUUUUAUCACGUGAAAAAAUUUUAAUAUCAAGAACUGAAAUCAAAUAAUUAUAUAUCGAAGUUUAGAUGUAUAUGCCUUUUGAUACUGUUCAGAAAAUCUUUAUCUAAACGUCAUUCAGUUUUAAAUUUAUAACGAUAUUAAUAUAAAGAGAACUAGACUCAUAUUUUUAUUUCUUUCUAUUCUUUUAGGAUCACUGUAAUCUUUCAAUCUAGAAUAAAUAAUUAAGAGAUUGAUUUGAUUAAGUUAAAUCCAUUAGCAAAAACUUUACGCAAUAGUAUUUUACCUGAAAACUUCUAAGUUUUAGGAUUGGACCCUAUGAAUCUUUCAUAUCACAAUGUUUUACAUAAAGUAAAUUACUUUAUGGAUGAGUGAAGGAUCGACGCAAGAAAUUUGGAUGUUUACAUGGUUGAAUAUAUCAUGUUAACAAAGAUAUAUUUUUCCUGAAUUACCAAAAAAAGAUAUAUUUCCCUUAUUAUAUUAUAAAACAAUAUCCUUUUAUUUUCAUUAGUCUUUCAUGUCAGCAAAGUUAUCCUUGGCUUAAUUCACCACAAACAAGCUAUCAUUGACCAUCACCACCAUCGGUCAUGUGGCUUCAUAGGCUUAUAAGUAGCGCCAUUGCAGCAACGCUUCUCCUCCACAACCACAUGCAAGAUGGGUUCCCAGCAUCUUCUAUCCUCUAUGCUUCUACUUCUCUUCCUUUCAAGCUUCAUCCAAAUGGCAGCACUUGGACGUACACCAUCAUCGUCCAAGGUCCAUGAGCGUCUCUCUUCCAUCUUAACAAUUGAUGUCCACGGACUAACAUCUCAAUGGUCUCUUCUGUGUAGCUGCUGUACAUAGUGUACAUGGGAGGGAGGCAACACGAAGAUCCAGACCUUGUGACUGCGUCGCACCAUGAUACGAUGUCUUCCGUACUGGGGAGGUAUGCAUUUUUGCACCAUAUUUAGUUUGUGUUCCUUUCAUCUUUCUGUCAUAUAUGCUCGAUUACAGGUUAUUCUAAUUGGUGAUUCAGCAAGGAGGAAGCUGUGAGUUCAAUUGUCUACAGCUAUAAGCAUGGCUUCUCGGGUUUUGCAGCCAUGCUUACAGAAUCUCAAGCAGAUCAAAUUGCAGGUUCUUCCUUCCUUCUUCAAGUUCUAAUAUGAUUACCGCACAACUGAUGAGAACAAUCCAUCGCUGGUUGGCGUCUUGAGAUGAGAAACAGCAUGUUUAUAGUGAAUAAAUCAUGUCUCCUUUGUUGGUUUAAACAUGUAAAUGGAUCAUGAAAAGGAGAAUUGAUGUUCGUGAAAAGUUAUGAGAAAGGAAAUCGUAUUUAUACAUAUACAUAAUUCUCAAUGAAGAUGAGUAAGCGCCUUCAUCAUAUUGCCCUUUUUCUUUUAUUGGUAGAAUUGCCGGAGGUGAUCAGCGUCAAUCCAAGCCGCAGCGUUCCGCUGCAUACUACACGAAGCUGGGACUACCUUGGUCUUGGUUAUAAACAACCCCAAUCCACAGGACUACUUCGAAGAGGCAACUUCGGCGAUGGCAUCAUCAUCGGUGUUGUCGACUCAGGCAAGCGUUAUAUAUUUAUUUCGUUACUGGCAUCGAGCUUGUUGAUUUGACCGUGUCUUGUGAACUUUGUUUGUAUAGGCAUUUGGCCGGAAUCGAGAAGCUUCGACGACCAUGGUUACGGCCCCGUCCCAUCCCGUUGGAAAGGAACGUGUGAAGUAGGUCAAAACUUCACCGUCAAACACUGCAACCGCAAGAUCAUCGGUGCAAGAUGGUACGCCGGAGGCGUCGACGAUUCCGACAUCAGCGUAGACUACCGUUCUCCCCGAGAUUUUCAGGGCCACGGAACCCACACGGCUUCCACCGCGGCUGGUUCAUUCGUGGGUAACGCGAGCUUCCAUGGCCUCGGUGCCGGCGUAGCAAGAGGAGGCGCUCCUCGUGCCCGGCUCGCAAUAUACAAGGCGUGCUGGGGAAACAACAUAAGGUGCCCGGAUGCCGCCCUUCUAAAAGCGAUAGACGACGCAGUGCAUGAUGGUGUGGACAUCUUAUCACUCUCACUUGGGGCCAUACAGUCCCCAAUCUUUGCUUCCAUACAUGCGGUAGAAAAGGGGAUAACUGUGAUCUUCUCUGGAGGCAACGAUGGUCCCGUUCCCCAGACCAUUUCUAAUGACCUGCCGUGGGUGAUCACGGUGGCAGCCAGCACCAUGGAUCGAUCGUUUCCUACCAUCCUAACCCUCGGAGACAACCGAACCGUGGUGGUGCGAACGUGUGGUUUUCACAGACACGCUAAUACAUUUGAAAGUUUGCAUCUAUUUAUAUUGAAUUAAUUGUUCAUGGUUGCUGCGGCAGGGACAAUCCAUCCUCUAUGAAUCCACCGGAGGAUUCAAAGAGCUAGCAGAUGGUGGGAGGUAACUAUAAUUCGAUUAAAUGUUCUUAAAGAAAAGAGUACCUAGUAAUGUGCAUUUGAUCUAUUGUUGCAGUUGCUCGCGGGACGAUCUGAAUUCGAGUGAUGUAGUCGGAAAGAUUGUGCUCUGUUACCAGCUUGCCAUCGCCUCAAGCUCUCCACCCAGGCGACACUUUCCACUGGCUGCCAGUAAUGUUCAGGAAGCAGGAGGGAAGGGCAUUAUCUUUGCACAGUACUCCGCCAACAUCCUAAGCUUCAUCGACGAUAUUUGCAACGGCACCGUAUGCGUCUUUGUAGAUUACGAGAUCGGCAAACAAAUAAAAGAUUAUGUAACGAAUACAAGGUCUGCUCAACUCGAGUUCAGUUUUCCUAAACAGAUCAGAAUUUUCUUUUCGGGAAUAAUAACCACGGAAGGAAAUUGGCAGAUCCCCGCUGGUGAAGGUGAGCCUAACGCAGGAUAAGGUCGGGAGUGGAGUUAUGUCGCCCAGGGUCACAGCUUUCUCGUCGAGAGGGCCGAGUAUAUUGUUCCCAGAUCUAGUCAAGGUAGGUACAAUUUCUAUUAUCUACUAGAAGCUCACAUUGUUUGGUUCUUUUCGAUGAACUGGUGUGCUCACCAUCACUGCCUUUGGACAGCCCGAUAUCACAGCUCCCGGAUUCCUUAUCCUGGCCGCAGUAAAAGAUUCCUAUAAGUUUGACUCCGGGACUUCCAUGGCUUGCCCCCAUGUCUCUGGCGUAGCAGCUCUUCUUAAAGCAGCACAUCCCCAGUGGUCUCCUGCUGCCAUCAAAUCAGCACUCGUCACAACUGGUGAGUAGAUUGACCAUCCUGUUUCUGCAUCGUUCCGGAGUUCUUCUCUGUCUGCUUUCCUGAUGUUAAAGUACAUUACAACCUCUGUUUUAAGCUCAUACGGCCAAUGCAUACGGCUUCCCCAUAGAAGCAGAGGGAGUUCCUCGAAAGCUCGCCGAUCCUUUCGACUUUGGCGGCGGUCACAUCGAUCCUAACAAAGCCUCUGAUCCCGGGCUUAUUUAUGACGUCGAACCCGAAGACUACUUCAAGUUCUUCAACUGCACUUACGGUCCGUCGACCACUUGUGACUUGGUGGACAGUCGGCUGUAUCGCCUGAAUCUGCCCUCCAUCUCCAUUCCCGACUUGAAGAAGACACCACUGACGGUGUGGAGAACCGUAACCAAUGUGGGGGACAAGGAUUCCAUUUACAGGGCAAUGGUGGAGUCUCCUCCGGGUGUCAACAUGGUGGUCGAGCCUUCUCUUCUCCAGUUCAAUGCUUCCACGACGACGCACACCUUCGCGGUGACGUUCACGCCGCUUCAGAUGGUGCAAGGGGACUUCAACUUCGGAAGCUUGACAUGGUUUGAUGAUGGGAAGCACGCAGUAAGAAUUCCUAUCGCAGUUCGAGUGAUCAUCCAUGAUUCCUUCUCUGAUACUUCCUAAGGCAUCUGCUCUAUGUUGACUACUAUGGCAAUAAGUUAAAUGUUGAAGUUGUAUGGGGAAUAAAAACUAAGGUGUGUAAAAUGCUACCCAAAUAUUGAUGUCGGCUUUUGGUUUAGUCAAUUUGUUCUUUUAUAGGCUUGUGUGAGCUACUAAUUUACUUUUGUCCAUAGUGGAUGUAGGUCACGAUCGAACCACUAUAACAUUGGCGUGUUCUUCUCUGGUUUGUAUUUCUAUAUUUGAUCAAUUUAAUUUACUACAAACCUCUUAAUUUGCUUUACAUCCACUAUGCAUCUUUCGUAUUCUUUCAACCAAUUCAACAUCAAAAUUAUAUAAUUUUCAAAAUUACUAAAAGCGAAGUAAGAGGAAUUACUAAAAGCGUCGUCAAAAAUAUUUUGUUUCGAUAAAAUUGGUUUCGUAAAGAUGUUAACUUGAAAUUAUACGGAAACAUAGUGAAAGAGGAAUUCAAUUUGUAAUAAGGUAAAUAGCAAAAAGCAAAUGCAAACCAGAUUUUAGAGUGGUUCAAUCGUCGUGACCUACAUCCACUUUGUCGAUUCCUCUUCCAUCGAAGCCACCAAUAUCCACUAUUGAUCUUCCUUUAAUAGGCAAAGAUCAACCUCCUUCUUACACCCUCUUCUCCUUUUACUGGGUUUAGAAGACAACCCUUGCAAGCACUCAUUCCUCCUAAAUAGGAUUCUAAACUUAGACUUAGAGGAGGGGAUUUCUUAAGUGAUUACAAUAGUGUUUCUUCACUUUUAAACUAUUUGUGCUUGUAUGUUUUAACUAGGGAUGAGAAAGGUAUUUAUUUGCUUCAAGUUGAUUCAAACUUAGAGCCUAAAAACAUCUCAUCCCGGGUUUCCCGGGCACAGGUGGUACCAUUGCCAGUGUUAGUCUAACACUGACACUACACUAGGCGGUACCACCGCUCAGUCUGGUGGUACCACCGCUUGACACUGGGUGGUACCACCGCCUACAGCCUCUCGGAGGUUGUGUUUGGGUGGUACCACCGCCCAGACCGACGGUACCACCGCCCAAAUCGGCGGUACCAUCACCUGACAUAGUCUCGGAGACUGUGCUAUGACGGUGUCACCUCUUGGGGCACUGUUUGGACCUCUCAUUGGGCCCAACACAGUCCUUACAUGGGCCCAACUAGCCCCUAAUUGGGUUGGCCCAAAUCCAAACCCAAUUACGUGCUAACUACGAUUUCUAAGACAUAUUCUAAGCUAAACAAGUCUGUAAGUCUAGUUUCUUCCGGCGAUCUUCCGACGAUUUGUCGGCAAUGUUCCGGCGGACUCCCGGCAAGCUUCUAGACUUCAUGAUGAUCUUCUUGGUGAGUUAUGAUGAGCUUCUUUGGUAAGCUCCUGAACUUCUCGGUAGAACUUCCGACGAACGUCUGGACUUCCGACGAACUCUCGAACUCCCAACAAAAUCGCGUCCUUGACUCCAGGACUUCAUUUUGCUUCAUGCCUUGCUAUCGUAGUUAAUCCAGCAUAUGUAAAAACACACUUCGAUCUAGACAAUUAAUACUAAGCAUUAAUCAUAUUGUCCGGCAUGUCUUUGGUCCCUCGAUGCUUCGUCCGAUUCUUUUGUGCAUCGUCCUCUCUUGCGGCCUAUUGCCCAAUCGGCCAAUUGACUCCGCAACUCUGAUAUCCUUGGCUCAAUAUCCGCUCUUCUUAGCCCGAUGCCAGAAUCCAUAGCCCGAAGCCUUCUGUCGAUUCAUCGACCGAUCCACCAGCUCGACGUUCAAUCUUCUGAUAUGUUUUCCUUUGGCCCAACAUGAUUUUUCCUACUUUAAUUGUCUCAUCCUGAUCGAAGCAUCCUGCGUCACUCAAAACACAGAUUAAAACAUAAACACUUACCAAUUGGUUUCAUUAUCAAAAUCUGAGAUUCAAUAAUCUCCCCCAUUUUGAUGAUGACAACCAAUUGAUGACGAAGUUAACCUUAACUCCUAAAAUUUAAACAAACUCCCCCUAUCAAUAUGUCAUAUUGAUAGAACCUUGAAUUCAAGCAAAAUUUAAGUCAUUGUAAAUUUCAUCUUAAAUAUUUGCAAUACGUCAUUAUGCAUAACAUGAUCAUACUUGGUGAAGACCAACUAUCCUUUUAAUUUUUUUUUGAACAUUUUCAUUAAACAUGUAAUUUUCAAGAAAAAAUUAUAUAUAAUUUUAUGGAUUGGUAUGUUUUUAUCCAUUGCACUAAUUCACCUCCCCCUCUUAGUGCCGACCUUUUUCCUAACAAUUGGUAUCGGAGCCUUGUUUUCUUAUUUGGUUUAACACCCAAAGAGAAAUGGCUCUUUUUGACUUUCAAGAGGGUCACUCUCUCAUUCGUCUUCCAUUUUUCAAUGGGACGGACUAUACUUAUUGGUAUCGAAGCCUUGUUUUCUUAUUUGGUUUAACACCCAAAGAUAAAUGACUCUUUUUGACUUUCAAGAUGGUCACUCUCUCAUUCAUCCUCCCUUUUCCAAUGGGACGGACUAUACUUAUUGAAAACCUUUAAUGAAAGUUGUCUUGCUUUCACUGAAUCUUGAUUUAUGGCACAUAGUCAAAUUUAGUUUUCAAAUGUCUUCUCUUCUAAUAAACCAUUAGAAUGAUUUGGAGAAGAAGACUUUUUCUCUAAAUGCAAAGGAUAUGAAUGCCUUAUUUUGCACCUUGGACAAAAACGAGUUUAAUCGAAUUUCUAUAUGUAAAACAGCUUUCAAAAUUUGGCAUACUUUCGAAAUCACACAUGAAGGCACUAGCAAAGUUAAAGAUUCGAAAAUCAACUUUUUGAUGCAUAAUUUUAAACUAUUUCAAAUGAAACAAAGCGAUACUAUUGGAGACAUGUACACCCGUUUUAUGGAUGUCGUCAAUAGUUUAAAAGCUCUUGGUAAAACUUUUUUGAAUUUUGAACUUGUUAGUAAAGUUUUACAAUCACUUUCUAAAAAUUAGAAUUCGAAAGUAAUAGCUAUUCAAGAAUUAAAAAUUUUGAAUACUUUUUUUAUCGAAGAACUUAUCGAGUCUCUAAUGACCUAUGAAAUGACGUGCAAUGAAUAUAAAGAACUUGAGAGCCACCUUAUAAAGAACAGGAAGGAUUUGGCAUAUCGAACAAAAGAAGACCACUCGAGCAUAAGCUCAAGUGAUGGUGAACUUGAACUCCUUACUAAUAAAUUUAAAAAGUUUAUGAAAUAAAAAUUAAAGAACAAAAAGAACAUAACUACUUGCUUUGAACACAAGAAGAAGAACACAAAAUAGGAUGAAUCGAGCUCCUCUGAAGACGAUGAGAAAAUCAACAAAGGCGAGGUGACAAACUACACCUUAACAGCUUUCGACAAUGAGGUAAUCAAAAUGCCUUUAAUUUAAUUUGAAAUUACAUAAUACUUUUCAUGAAGUUAUUUUUUUAUUUAGAAAAUUAUAUAUAAUUUUUUUCUUGAAAAUUACAUGUUUAAUGAAAAUGUUAAAAAAAUUAAAAGGGUUUAAGGAUCACGCUUAUCUUUCUAGUAAUUUUGAAAAUGAUAAUAAAAAUUAUAUGUUUAUGAUAAACAAAAUGAUUUUGAUUAAAAAUACUUUAUGAAAUCAUGUUUCAUGAUAUCAUGCUUAAUAAAUUUAUUUUUUGAAAUUAUGCAUGAUGAUUUGACAUAAUGAUGAGUUUUAGGUAAUUUAUGGUUUAUUGAUCUUAAUGAUUUCCAUGAUGAUAUUUGCUCUUUUGAUUUUAAACUAUGAUAUAUGGUUUUAAUACUAAAAUAAACUUGAGCAUGCUUAUAUGAAAUCAAUCAUUUAAAAUGUAACACAUAAAAAGAAAAAUAUAUUAUUGGAUUUAAAAUCAUGAAUCUAUUUAUGUUAUAAAUUUUUUAAAUCAUGAAAUUGAUUUUGAUGGUUUGAAUUUAAUAGGUUUUAUCGAAAUCAUGAUCUUGAUUUCUCAAGAUUUAUUACAUAAAAAUCCUUCAUAAAUCAAGAUUUCUUACUCUUUAUUCUCUUGCAUUUUGAGAAAAUUUUCAAUAUGAAUCAUAAGAGUGCUUAUGCAUCAAUUGAAAUCUUUUUCUCCUAUGUUUCCUUUUACGAUUUACUAAAGAGAAUAUCUUUUUCGAAAUUCAUGACUUAAAAUUUUUUUUGAAUAUCUUUCAUUAUUUGAUCUCCUAAGAUUUUCUUUUGAUUAUUUAUGAGGAGGUUUUUCAAAAGAAAUCAUGCCUUUUGGUAUUCACAUGAUCUUAUCUUUCAUAAUAUGAUUUUUAUGUAAUUUCUUGUAUUCAUGAAAUGUUUAUCUCAUCACCCAAUUAAUUUUUCUUGAUAUUCUUCAUGUGAUGAUAUAAAUUUAUGCAUAAGAUACUCAUGAUAUUAUUUUGAUGCUAUGAAAUGAUAUAAAUUUUGUAAGCUUAUGAGUAUCAUAUAUGCUAUGAUGGUUGAUUUUUAGUAUCAUGGAUAGAAUAAGGAUGAUAUGUAAAGUUUUAAAAUUAUGUAUGUUUUAAUUUGAAAAUAUAAUGAUGCAUAAAUAAGAUUAAUACUUUACCUUUGUCAUGCUUUGAAAAUUAUUAUAGAGGAAAAAAGAGAUAUAAAAUUAUAUUCUUCCAUUCUUUUUGACAAUAACAAAGGGGGAGAUAGCUAGCUUGCACAAGUCAAGAAAAUGUAAAAACUUGCAACUUGUACAAUUGCUAAAGAAAGCAAGAAUCGCUAGCUUGAACACUUAAACAAGAAAGCUAUCUUGUAUUUACUUUCGAAAUAUUGCUAGCUUAUAUUUUUUAAAAUGAUAUAAGAAUUUGCUAGCUUGCAUGAUAUAAAACUUGUUAUCUUGAAUAUUACCCAGACUUGCUAGCUUUCAAUCCCAAGAGAAGCAACAUUGCUAUCUUGAACUUGCUAAUUUACACAUUUUGCUUAUCUUAAGAAGCAAAAUAUGCAAAUUUACACAUCUCUAAUUACUGCUAGCAUGCAUAAUGUAGAACUUGCUAUCUUGAACAACACCAAGACUUACUAGCUUGCAUAAUGAUAAAACUGAAAAUUAUAUUUAUUAUGUAAUGAUUUAAACUUGAAUUUCUAAACGUAUGAGAAUUGAACUUCUCAUUUUUGUUGAUGACAAAGGGGGAGAAGUAUGAUCAUGUUAUGCAUAAUAAUGUGUUGCAAAUAUUCAUGAUGAAUAUUUACAAUAACUUGAAUUCGGUUUGAAUUCAAGGUUCUAUCAAUAUGGCAUAUUGAUAGGGGGAGUUUGUUUAAACUCCGGGAGUUAAGGUUAACUCCGUCAUCAAUUGAUUAUCAUAAUCAAAAAGAGGGAGAUUGUUGAAUCUCGGAUUUUGAUGAUGAAACAAAUUAAUAAGUGUUUAUGAUUUGAUCUGUGUUUUUAGUGAUGCAGGAUACUUCGAUCAAGAUGAGACAAUUAAAGUAGGAAAAAUCAUGUUGGGCCAGAGGAAAACAUGUCAGAAGAUUGUACGUCGAGCCGGUGGAUCAGUCGAUGUAUCGACAGAAGGCUUCGGACCAUGGAUUCGGGUAUCGAGUCAAGAAGAGCGGAUAUUGCACCAAGGAUAUCAGAGUUGUGGAGUCAAAUGGCUGAUUGGGCAAUAGGCCAUAAGAGAGGACGAUGCACCGAAGAAUCGAACGAAGCGUCGAGGGACCAGCAGAUCGAAGUGUGUUUUAUAUAUGCAGGAUCAACUACGAUAGCAAGGCAUGAAACAAAAUGAAGUCCUGGAGUUAAGGACGUGAUUUUGUUGAGAGUUCGAGAGUUCAUCGGAAGUUCUGUAGGAACCAGCAGAGAAGUCUCAGAGCUUACCAAAGAAGCUCAUCGGAACUCGCCAAGAAGAUCAUCAUGAAGUCUAGGAGCUUACCAGGAGUCUGCUGGAACAUUGCUAAGAGAUCAUCGGAAGUUCGUCGGAAGCUCGCCGGAAGAAACCAAGACAUAGGGACUUGUUUAGCUUAGUAAAUGUCUUAGAUUUUGUAGUUAGCAUAUAAUUAGACUUGGAUUUGGGCCAACCCAAUUAGGGGCCAACUGGGCCCAUGUAAAAACUGUGUUGGGCCCAAUAAAAAAGCUCAAAUAGUGCCCCAAGAGGUAACACCGUCGUGGCACAAUCUCCGAAAUUGUGUUAGGCGAUGGUAUCGUCAGUCUGGGCGGUGGUACCAUCCAAACACAACCUCCGAGAGGCUGUAGGCGAUGGUAUUGUCAGUCUGGGCGGUGGUACCACCUAGUGCAGUGUUAGUGUCAGACUGACACUAGCGGUGAUAUCGCCUAGCGCAGGCGGUGGUAUCGCCCAUGCCCAGGAAACCCGGGAUGAGAUAUUUUUAGGUUUCAAGUUUGAAUCAACUUGAAGCCUAUAAAUACCCUUCUCAUCCCUAGUUAAAAAACAUAAGCAUAAAGAAUUUAAAAAGGGAAAAACGCUGUAGAAAUCUCUUGUGAGAAUCCUCCUCUAGUCUAAGUGUUAGAAUAGUUUGAGAGAGGAGUGAGUGCUUGUAAGGGUUAUCUCCUAAACCUGGUAAAAGAAGAAGAGGGGUGUAAGAAGGAGGUUGAUCUUUGCCUAUUAAAGAAAGAUCGAUAGUGGAUGCCGGUGGUCUUGACGAAAGAGGAAUCAGCAGAGUGGAUGUAGGUCAUAACGACCGAACCACUAUAAAAUUGGCGAGUUCUCUAGUUUGCAUUUACUUCCUGUAAUUUACAUUAACCGCAAACUGCCUUCAAUACGCUCUUACUUCGCUUUCAAAGUUAAGCAUUUUCGAGUUUGGUUUUAUCGUAAGAAAGGAUUUUCUAAAACCGAUGUUUUUAUCCACUGUACUAAACCCGAUAAAAGAAAAAGAGGGGUGUAAGAAGAAGGUUGAUCUUUGCCUAUUAAAGGAAGAUUGAUAGUGGAUGUUGGUGGCCUUUAUGAAAGAGGAAUCAGCAGAGUGGAUGUCGGUCACGACGACCGAACCACUAUAAAAUUGGCGUGUUCUCUGGUUUAUAUUUACUUCCUGUAAUUUACAUUAACUGCAAACUGCCUUCAAUACGCUCUUACUUCGCUUUCAAAGUGAAGCAUUUUCGAGUUCGGUUUUAUCGAAAAAAAAAAUUUAAACUGAUAUUUUUAUCCGCUGUACUAAUUCACCCCCCCUUAGUGCCGACCUCUUUCCUAACAAAGACAACAUAAGGUUUAAUAUAAUAUGAUAAUAUUUUCACUAAAUUAAUUUUUUAGAAAAGUAAUAUGUAAAGUUAAGAAACUUAUCACCAUCUCUAUCCGUCUUGUUAUAAUAUGUGAAAAUAUUUAUUUUGUAUGUUAUUUACAUUUGUCAAAUUUCAAGUGGGUUAAAAUAAUUUUAUUUAUCUCCAUAGAAAAUUAUCUUUACGAGGAGGAGUUCGUGAUUGGAAGCCGUUGCAUUUGUCAAAAGGAUUGAAAUAAUGGAGAGAGAGAGAGAGAGAGGAAAUCCUGUACAUAAAAUGGAGAGGACACUUCAAGUUACACGUACGAUUUUUUCGAUAGAGCAAUUCUCGUAGAACAUCCAUAAUUAUAUGAAAAGUCUCUUUAACCCUUAUAAUAUUUAAACAAUUUUACCUAUAGCCUCAGCCCUAGUAACGCCUCUAUCCAUGGUUAGCCGAUCAACCUGUUUAUUUUCACUAUAGUCAUUCAUGACCCUAGGUAGGAGGGAACACAAGGGUUAUGACCACCUCUACGAACCCUACUGACCUUCUCCCUUCUUGUGGAUCUAUCCAUCGCCUUCUCCUUCUUUGAACUCAUCUUCCUCCUCCUUUGUCAAUGAUUGUAAGCACAACAGUUAUGCAAGGCACGAGGUAGAGGGGGAUAGUUGGUGGGGUGGGGUGGAGGUAAAAGAAUGAUGAAGGAUGAUGACCGAUAAGAAUAUAAUUAUUAUUUAUUAAAAAAAAAGAUACUCUAUGAAUUUUUUUUUUAAUUUAGGGUGUCCAAACCCAAAGUUAUAGGUUUUUUUCCAAAAAAUUAUAUAUUUUCAUAUGCUUUAUUUGUUUGAGAAUUUAGAAUUUUUUGCCAUCCAUUUUGGAUCGUUAGGUCAAAUGGACCCCUCAAUUACAACUACGUGAUUGACUUGAUAAACAUGGCACAACAAUAAACGCUUUAUUAUGAUUUCCAUCAUUGAAGUGGAACACAUCAGAUACAGAAAAGGGAACAACGUCCCUUUCAGAUUUGUUGAAAGUUCAAUUAAAUCUUAUAUUCCAGACAAUUUGAUUUUGAGAGUCUUAUCAUAAUUAAAAGUUUUAUUAAGUUAAAUUAGGACAUGUUCUCAAUAUAAGCUUUGCAGGUGCUGCUGGAGAAUAUUUAUAUCGAUGAUGAAUAUAAAUGGAUUGGAGAUUAAUCCGAUAUUACAAAACCAUCAAAAGAGACGGAUGAUGAAUUGGGUCUACAGUUUUGAUGAGUCAUCCCCUCACAACCUCGCGACUGCCAUUAUUGAAAAGAAUGUGUGAAUUGAUAAGACCACAUUAUUAUUGACUCUAGAGAUAUAACAAUAGAAAGACUAAGCAUUUAAGCAAUCGGAAACCCUCUUUAAAAAGACCAUGUAUUAUUAUUGACUCUAGAAAUAUAAUAUAAAAAGACUAAGCACUUAAAGAAUUGAAAAUGCCCCUUUAGAAAUAAUUAAAAAAAUAUAAUUAUAAUUUUUUUAUUUCAAACUAUUAAGUAUCGAACAAAAAAUUCACUAACAUCAUCACAUAAUGUGAAAGGAGAAGACUACGUCAAUAAGAAACAUUGUUUUAUGUGUUCCAUCUCGUGUUUUUCUUUUAAUUGAAAGAUAUUAUGCUCACAUAUGAACCUCAAUUUGACAUCUAUUACAACACUAACCAAUCUUAAUAUAUUAUAAUAAAUGAACUUAUAAAGUGUGUGUCAUUGAUAAAUGUUUUUUAUUAUUUAUUUCUUUAAAAUCUUAAUCAAUUUCUAUAUAUUCAAGCCAUUCAAUAAUAGUAUAAACGACUUUUAUUAUUUGAGUCAUCAAGUUCCAAAUCUACAAGUAAAACAAAUUAUAAUCAUGCCUAAAUGUGUAUGUCACGGGUAAUCAACGUAGCUCCAAAGGAACCUUACAACUAUGCCCACAAUCUUAUUAUUCUAGUUUGACUUUGAGCUGUGGGGUUCCUUUCACGUAGUCGACCAUCACCUUCGUCUUUAUCUUGGUAGCUUAUAAAUAGUGCCCACUGUCCGAAUACUGGCACUCCAUAGCCGAAGAUGGGAUCGCUUCUUAUUCUAUCCUCCAUGUCCCUGGUAAUCUUGCUUCUCAUUUGGAGCUACUUCCAAAGGGUCCCGCUUGGAGAUAACCCAUCAACCAAGGCGAGUGUCUCUCUGCCCUCGCCUACUGCGAAGCUGUACAUUGUGGAUCUUGGAGAAAGACGAUACGAAGAUCCACAGCUUGUGAUUGCCUCCCACCAUGAUAUGUUGUCUGCCGUGCUGGGAAGGUAUACAUUCUCCGUCACAAUUCGCCGCCCCUGCUAUUCUCUAAACUUUCCUUUGUGCGCUAAGGUUGGUUGGUCGGUGCACUUUGUGUCGUUUCAGCAAGGAAAAGGCUCGCGAUUCAAUUGUUUACAGCUACAAACAUUGCUUCUCGGGCUUUGCGGCCACGCUCACGCCAUCUCAAGCACGCCAAAUUGCAGGUCCUUAGCAUGCAUUCUCGUACCGAAAACAGGAAAAAACUUGAAUGAAUCAUAAGAGCUAGAUAAUAACUUUUAGUAUUAUGGGUAACCUUGAAAUCGAGAUCAUGAAGGAUCGAUAUCAAGCUUUCAAAAGCUUCUCUUAUUGGCCAUUGAUAUAUGAUCUAUCGGUAGAGAAAAAAGGAAAGCACUAAUCUGUAUGAUAUGCAUAGUUACAGUAAUAAUUCCAUUUGUACUGUCGUUUUGGUGUUAGAAUUGGCGGAGGUGAUCAGUGUCAGUCCAAGCCGCACUUUUCCUCUCCAUACCACGCGAAGCUGGGACUACCUCGGCCUACGGUAUAGCCAUCAGCAACCCACAGGACUACUUGAGAAGGGCAAGGAAGGCGAUGGGAUCAUCAUCGGAGUUGUCGACACAGGCAAUUAAGCCGCAUCUGUUCACCACUGAUCGCCUAAUUAUAUGUCACCGAGCAUGUCAAUGGGAGUUUUUCUUACAUAGGCAUCUGGCCGGAAUCGAGAAGCUUCAACGACGAUGGUUAUGGCCCCGUCCCAUCCCGUUGGAAAGGAACGUGUGAAAUAGGCGUAGAACACCCCAUCAGAUGCAACCGCAAGAUCAUCGGUGCAAGAUACUACAGUAAAGACGCCGACCCGUCUGAGGUCGCGCGAGACUACGACUCCCCCCGUGACGCCAAUGGCCAUGGAACACACACCGCUUCCACCGCAGCAGGUUCUCUGGUAAGCGAUGCAAGCUUCCACGGUCUCGGUGCCGGUACAGCAAGAGGAGGCGCUCCUCGUGCGCGGCUAGCGAUCUACAAGGUGUGCUGGGGAUCAGGAAGAUGCGGGGAAGCCGACGUACUACAAGCCAUAGAUGACGCGGUGGAUGAUGGAGUGGACAUCUUGUCACUGUCAAUCGGUGGGGAUGGCUACCUUCCGGCUUCACUAGGCGCGGUAAGAAGUGGCAUGACGGUGAUCUUCUCCGGCGGCAAUGACGGUCCCGUCACUCAAACAUUAAAUAACGACGUUCCAUGGGUCAUCACCGUGGCUGCCAGCACCAUCGAUCGCUCUUUUCCGACCGUCAUAACCCUCGGAGACAAACAAACUGUGGUGGUAUGCUGCGCAGAUGUGUUGCAUGCUCAAAUUAAGGCUUGGCAACUUGGUCAAGUCAUUGUUAAUUGGUUUGCUGACGAAAAGCCUGCUGCAGGGACAAUCGCUGUUCUAUGACUCGGCGGAUGUAGGAUUCAAAGGCCUAGUAGUGCCUGCAAGGUAGAUGCUGUCAAUCACAACUCUGUUUCUCCCCUUUAUUUAUGUUCAGAUGUUAAUUCCGUCGUCCAUUGUAGUUGCUCUGCAGAGGACAUACAUUCCAGAUAUGUAGUAGGCAAGAUUGUGCUGUGCGCUGACAGUGGGCCUGCUGGGAACUUCGACGACGUUUUAGGAAUCCUGCAGGGAGCCAAAGCCGCCGGUGUGAUCUUUGGACGAUUCCCACGCAGCAACCUCCUACCUUGCGAACGCUUCAUAUGUGUCCUGGUAGACAAAGAUGUACACGAGCAAAUAUGGAUAUAUGGUGAAAAGACGACAAGGUUUGCUUCCUAGAUUUCUAUUCCCGUUAACGCGUUGCAGCUAAUUAACCACGGGUGGGUUACCACUGGCAGUUCUCCGGUGGUGAAGGUGAGCCCAGCCUUAACCUCGGCCGGGAUUCCAAUCACGUCGCCCAGGGUGGCAGCUUUCUCCUCCAGGGGGCCGAGUAUAUCUUAUCCAGACCUGGUCAAGGUACGCCCACCCCGCAUCCAUGAUCUCAUUCUUGCAUAUAUCUUCAGCUGGGACCAACAAAGAAACGUGCUAGCUUAUUGUUGUUUACGUCCUUCGAUCAGCCCGAUAUCACAGCUCCGGGAGUCAGUAUCUUGGCCGCAGUGGAAGAUUCUUAUGAAUUCAUGUCCGGGACUUCAAUGGCCUGUCCUCAUGUAUCUGGAGUUGCAGCUCUUCUCAAAGUAGUGCAUCCGGAAUGGUCUCCAGCUGCCAUCAAAUCAGCACUUGUCACUACCGGUGAGUAAANNNNNNNNNNNNNNNNNNNNNNNNNNNNNNNNNNNNNNNNNNNNNNNNNNNNNNNNNNNNNNNNNNNNNNNNNNNNNNNNNNNNNNNNNNNNNNNNNNNNNNNNNNNNNNNNNNNNNNNNNNNNNNNNNNNNAAGCAGAAGCUUCCCUUUAAGGUGACCUUCACGUCGCUUCACAAGGUGCAAGGAGGCUUCACUUUCGGAAGCUUGACUUGGGUGGAUGAUGGUGGGAACCAUACCGUCAGGAUUCCGAUCGCGGUUCGGGUGAUCAUCGUAGAUUCCUUUUCUGACACCUCCUAGGGUCCAAGUUAUAAGCUCUGGCCUGAGCAUUCGAGACAUGAAGUAAUAAUGGAACCGAGUUUAUAUAUAUGUUGCUGUAGCAGUAAGUUCAAU